ensembl:lncRNA
GUAAAAAUGAGCCAUGGACACCACAAUCAAACAAGUGUGAAAAACUGCACAUUUGAAAUUGCCUGAACUCAGGGCAACUUCACCACUCAGGUCUGAUCCUGCCAGGAAAAUGUAACCUGUUAGUUCAAAGUGGUUGAGAGGAAAAGGGUCAACUGUUGGCAGGUGCUGCAUGCAGCACAGCUGACGUGGCCCUCCACAAUCUGCAACAAAAGGUGUCAGGAAAGUCAGAGCUCCUCUCUCAGAUCUUAAAACACGAGAAGAACCACCUACAUGUUUGCUGUAAUGAAGAAGCCAGCUGUCUCUGUGAUGGCCCAACUGCUCCAACAAAAGGUCCUUCUUUGAUUUUGUUCUUCCACCAAGCUCAUCAGAAGAGCUACUGAAAUCUUCCAAAGCCUUUUCUCAACCUCAAAGUGUGAGAUGAAGAUGCCAUUUUAAUUGUGGAUUAGCGAGAUGUGCUUGAGUAAAACAACCCCAAACGCUGGGAUGCAAUUGCAUAAUAAACACUACUGUUACAGCAGAGUCUAAAUGCUCUGCUUGCACCAGUGAAGAGCUGCUGGUUCAUUACACCAAGCUACAGGAGCUGCUGUUUGUAUCCUCAUAAGGUGGAGUAUUUGAUGGCAGGACUGCUACAGAUGGUUGACCCAGUAUUCAGCCACUGAUUUCUGAUCAGCAAAACUUAAAAGCAAAGAUGCUGUCAGUGUGUUACUUUUCUUCAUAGCUUUCUUCAGGAUAACAAUUUAUUUUUCUCCUUGAUUUGUUCAAGGAUGCCAUACCUAAUUUUAAGAAAGGAUUUGGAUUUUAAUAUGCUAUGUAAACCUGCUUAGCAAAAGAAGUAGUAAGGACAGGACUUGUAUGAACCAAGUGGCUUUGUCUGACACAACAUCCCGAAGAUGACAGCAGUUACGUUGCUAUCCUGCAGCCUGAUUGCGGGUGCACAGGGCAGGGGAAGGCCUGAAAAAGGCCAGAAGAGGAAGGCCACAGAAAGGCCAAAAGCAGCCACAGCUCCUGCUGGCUGCUCAGACUAGGUUUAGACAGGAGGCUCCCAGGCAGACCACAUGGGAAGCACCAUUAUGUCUCAUCCCAUGGGGAAAUAGUUUGCUGAAUCACACUAAAAGGUCUGUGGCAGCUAGUGGAGCUUCCUUUGCCAGUUGCAGGGUCCCCAGGUGCAGCUCUGUGCCUCUCCUGCUGUGCCUCCAUGCUGGUGUGUUUGGGUCUGUUUUUCCACUCCCUUCUCUGCUCAUCUUAUAUAUAGAUAAACUAUUGUUUUACACUUAAGGAACAUGUAUUUCUGUUUCUUUUGCUUCCCAACCAUCUUUAGACUAAAUGAAUUCUGAAUGGAAAAAACAUAAAUGUCAUUUCAAGCAGAUACCUGCCUCAGUAAGCCUGCAAAAGCAGCUUAUUCACUCAAACUCAUACCCCACACAUGAAUAUAGCUGUACCUGCAUAGAGAGGACUCUUUGCCUGAGUGUUUGCUAAGGAACAUUUGGCAGGCAGGGACACCACCUAGUUGGUUUAUAGUUUUUCAGAUACGAGGUUAUUUACAUUUCUAGCUAAAAGGCAUUUCUGGGGCUGCUCAUAAAAUGAAACACACACAGAUUCAAAAACCUAAAGGAAAAUAUAAAGGUGCAAAGAAGAGUAACUUAAAAAAAAAAAAGCAGAGUUUGAAUCAGCUUGUAGGAAAAUAUAAGCCCUCAAGAUAGUGAAAAACUCCACAUGGGAUACUCUCAGGAAAACUGCUCAAAUUCAUCUCUACCAACUGUGCUGAGGGUUUGGGGAGGUCAGCUCUUUGCACAGCCAGGACCAUGCUUUGCCUUUCACCCAAGGUGCUCAUCAGGACUGGAAACCAAAACCUAUUUUUCUGACAGGUCAUGAAUUAAGUAACUGCAGCUGGAUCUCUUUCCUUCUGCUAGCAAUCUCACAUGGAAGCAAUAAAAUUACUGGCACUAUAAAUUAGUUCUAGAUGUGUUAUUUUUCAGUGUUGCUAGAUAUUUUUUCUUUGGUGGAAGUAAGUUCUGUAAUCAGGGAGCACCCACCAGCAUUAAAAGGAGAUCACAUCUAGAACCAGAGGUCCCAGUUGUUACAACACAUUUUAGCGGUUCUUUACCUAUGCUAACACUCUGCUAGAGCAGUCCAUCUAAUAGUAGCAAUAACAAACAACAAGAAAAAAACUUAUACGAUAAUUAAUAUAAAUGGGACAACAUUGUUCGCUAACAUUUUUAAGCCCCAUUAUGGUUGACUCACCCAUGAGCAGGUCUGGGUCUACAGCAAAGGAAAUAGUAAGUGCGUGAUUGAACAAUAGGAAGUUUCGACUUCAAAAAGUGUCUGCACUACACUACCUGAAAAUCAAGCUCAUGCUUCUGAAAUUCCCACCAAUACUUUGUCCAAUCCUUCCUGUUCUUUUUUUCUCUCUACAGUCAGCUGAGCUGCUCUAAGAUUAUUUUCCUGUAACUCUCAGCACAACAUGUAGGUACAGAAGGCACGGUGGGUAAGCACUGAGGACAUCUAACCCACAGGAGAUUUAGCCUUUGUUCCCCAUGAGAAAUGGAUACAACACCAGCAUGCGUGGACUCUGAAUCCUAGCUUUAAUUAGAGAGAAGGUGAAAUCAGAUGAACCUACCUCUGCUUAAACACUAGCCUUUCCUCAGUGUCUCUCUGCUUUUCAGAAUAGUAUUCUUCUUCCUGUUGGUGACCAUGUAUGUAGGUACAGGAUCUAAACGCUUUUCCACUGAAAUCUCAACAUCUGCAUGUUGUCUACCUCUCUAUCGACAGCUUCCAAUAAAAGCUUCCUUUAAUAGAGUUGUCCUGACUCACAGGUGUGGGGGGAGAGAAGCUGACCUCGCUGCUGCAUCAAGAGUGUCUGACGCAUUUUGAGAGGCUGUGGUUUCAGGUCUAAAAGAAUUCAGCUUUGUUUUCAACAAAGUUUUAAAAGCUCAGCUUCCAAAAUAUCACCCCAUAGCUUCGUGUCAGUUUGCAACUCAAUUUUGUUCAGUGGUUCAAUACAGCAAUAUUUGGGGCUUUGGCCAUACACUUGGCAGAUCAGCAGCGCUCACCAGCAGAAGAGUUUCUCAGAAACACAGCCACCCAGGCUCCUGGCUGGCUCCACCUCUUGUCCGCCCACUCCCAGUUUCAGACAUUUCACAUUCCAAAACUGGAAGUGUCUAUGCAACAUAAGGUCACAGUAUUACACAACGCACCCCGCUCCUUCUAAGAGCUACUGCAUCCUCAAAAGUACACCAACCACAACAGCAAGGGAGCUGUUUACAAUGAAUUUCUAUCUGAGUGGGAGUGUUUUCUCCGAGAAUCUUAUAACAAGGACAUGAAGUGUAUGACUCUUCCCUGUGUUUGGUAAAUUUUCUCCUGAGAUGGCACUUAUUCAAUACUGCUACAUCUGCAUUCCUUCCUCUUUAAGCUGCCCUUUUAAAAAUUGGGAUUUAAUUUUUACACUUCCCCUAAGUAUUUGUAUGCUGGAUAAUUUUAGCACAUGCUAAACAGAACAAUUUCUGUCUAUCUUAAAUUUAGAACUGAGGACAUUUGUAGCUUUCGCAAUGCAACCAUGAAAUACAACUGAUUGAUGCCAAUGUGGGUUUUGCUAAAUGCUUUUUUAAAAUUAUUAUUUAAAUAAUUGAAUGGUCCGAAUAACUUCUAUGAUCAUUCUUUCACAUGGUCUUUAAACUCUAACAGGUGAGUGAAAACUCCAGUUUCAGUUCCCAGUGCAGAACAUUUUACCUAAUACAGUGGGUGAAAAGUAAGACAGGUUUUGGCUUUUUUUCCCCCAGUGAGGGGGUAGGUAGAAAUGGUGUCGUCGCAUUCUAUCUUUAAAACCAUGUUCAGCUUUUCAGCUACAGUUAAGACUUAGCUGUUAGUAUGGCAACUGUAUUUGACUUUCUCUUGAAUGCUAAAGAAUUAUACAGUUAUCCACGAAAGGCAUUUUUUUACCUAUUUAAAUAAGUGGCCAAACUGCAUGGAGCAACUUCUUUCAAUUCAGGCCUGUUUCCUUUGCCUCCAGCUGCCUGGGGCAGUUGAGCAGGGGGAAGCAGAAGGGCUCAGGGCUGCAGAUGCCAUCCAGCAAUCUCAGGUAAGAACAGGACUGCUGGUGGCUGACACUCAGAAAUCCGAUUCAGGCCACCUAGAUAAAACUACGAUGGCAAAACCACAGAGUGAGAGGGUAUGAGAAACAAAAAGAAUCCUAUGAAAGGAGCAGAAUAAGGGCUGAGGAGGUCUCUUGCACUUCUCAUUUCACUAGCUGCACUGGCACCGUGCUUUGCUGGGGGAAGAGGUAGCAUGGGACUUUUGUUCUGAGUCAUUCAUUUGGAAGAUAUAACAUGAUUAAGAGUCAACUGCCCUUCAUCCCACGGAAGAGAUACUUAAAACUGAGCUAAUGGUUUAAAGUUACUUAGCUCCUCUUUGGUGCCUGUGCAAGCAAAAGGUUAGACUGUAAUGUUUAACCACAGCUCCCAUGUAUUUCCGAGAAGCACAGGGGAGACCACCUGAAGGAAAGUCAGACAUCUUCCAUGCUGUUUCCUGUGUACAUGAGGUGGAGAAACCUCUGCCAGCCUCCAGUCUCGUGUAGACAGAGAGCUGCCUCCCAUGAAGUAGCUGUCACACAGCAUGCUUUCCUUCUGUGGGACACGCUAUCUUUGAGGACAGCAGGAACUAGUGUUCUGUGCAUGCCACCUGCCAUGAUCAGUACAUGUGCAAGAUUGUCACUGUGCAAUACAGUCAAAAGGUUUGGUGUUUUCAGUAGGAUUGGCAGCAUGUCUAUAUAAAAAGUAGGAUGAAGAACCCAUGAGGGACAGCAAGAAAAAGUUUAAUAAGUCUGGAGACACCAUACAUUAAGGAGAAUACACCAUCUAUUACAAACCUUGAUGAACUAUUCAAAGGGCUGCUUUAAAAAGUAAAAGUAACAUUUGCAAUAUAUGCGUUCAUGAUUUUAACUUUCAUCCAUAAGAGGUCACUGUGUGAUUCAAUGAACACCUUGGUGUCAGCAGCAUUCCCCUCCCUUCCCACAUGCUCAGCACCAGGUGUCCAGUCAUCUCCAGUAACGUCCUAGCUAUUAUCCAGCUGCCUUCUGUAGGGACAGAUAGAGCAAUAAAGCAAGAACUGUGUAGGUGUCCUUCAAGCACUUUGAUCGCAUGACCUUAGCCAAUUUUACAGUUACUUGAAUGUACUUACUUUCCAUUCCCCAUUAAUCUCAAAUGGAUCCAGGAGUUUUACAACCACUGUGGACAUUUUAAAUAACUGGUUAAAAAUAUAGAAAAAUUUGGGAGACUGAUGCUGAGCAGCAAAGAUACAAGCUCCCAGGCAGGCAGUGCAUUACCCAGGGACUGCAGACUCAAUUUUUUUGGCCUGUUUCAUCAAGCUAACAUUGCUUUCUAGUAGUGAGUAGAUGUUUUCACCAGGGUGACUCCAAUGUACAGUGGGGACAUGUAGGCCUGUCAAGGUCACCUGCCAGUAGGAACUUUUAAGGCAUUAAGUUUCUAUAUUGCCAUUUGCCAUGAGAUGAGAAGGAAUAAUAGACAGAUGCAACUUAAUAACAGCUGAAACCACGCUAGCACACUUCAAUUCAUCUAGUAUCUUCUGCAUGGAUUAAGGUGACUUAAAGGGAAGUAGUUCAUUCAGAGAUUUCCAUGAGAAAACAAAAGCAAAAAAUAAAAAUCAGCAAUACAGAAAUUUUGCAGUGGAAAACUUGUUCUUCUGGAAAUUCCUCUUUCAAUUGAUAAUCUGCUUUUAUGGGAAGUUCCUCCAUAGCUCUAGGCACAACCCUCAUGCUGAGAAGUUUAAAAGCAGCCUUUAUCUGCUGUGCCCCCAUCAGAUAAACUGAUGGACUGGAACCCUCCUCCUUGCCUUCCUCCCAUGCAAACACCAAAGUGCACAAGCAGGGUCACUGCAAGUACAACAGCAACUGUGCAGCCACAGUAACUCACCUAAUUACAGACAAGCAUGUGGAGGGAUGUUUGAAGGCCUGAUCUUUUAAUGUCCCAAAUCAAGAUUAAAUGCAGGCUCUUAUGCAUAAGCUGCCCUUAAUGCUGUGAUACUGGCACAGCUGCCACCGACUUCAGCAAAAUUUUCACUAACACAAGGGAUUGCAGGCAUGGGAAAGUCUUAAACAAAGCUCCUUAGAGCUUGACUGCACCAAAGACAGGGAACCUGCACCUGACUUUUACAUUAUUAUAUGAAUACACCUAAAUCAUGGGUGCAACUCCAUCGCUGUUGUUUUACAGUGGCCUAAACCACUCAGUCAGGACUACACCCUCCAUAGAUAGCAUUACAAGGAGAAAGACAAACAUUUUUAGUGAACUUGCUAAGGGUCUUGUAAAUUUUCUUCAGGAGUAAGAAUCUUCUUUACAGAGGGAUAUUAGAAAAGGAUAAACCAUUCACUAUAAUGUAUUUUCUAUCAAUCACUUUAGCAUGAAUCAUCAUAUUGUGUAAACAGGCUAGAGAUCAUAUUUAUGGCUGAACUGGAAGUAUUUCAGAAAGUCAGAGGAAUAAGAAAUCUGUUAGGGCAGGCAGUCCAGAAAGAGGUACUGAGUCCCUAAGUCAUUCACCUAAACUUCUAAAGUGAUUUACAAUAAUUCCACACAAGCCCUGUGUUUUCACACCAAUGCAUUUUUAACCCCAGAUAAAACAUGGAUCCCUUUGGGAGAAGAAAAAAAGUGAAUUCAGGUGGAAAUCUUGGACUCAUCUUCACAACUUACAACUGCGUAUCUUGCUUGAUUCCCGAUUACCUUCUGGCCUAUGCAGGCUAUCCAACAGAAGAGUGAUCCAGUAACCCCAAAACUGAGUUAUGUGGAGGAGCUUGGGGCAGAAGCAGCUGCCUGCCUGCCAUUGCAGGCUGUGAGGUGAGGGAAUGGACACAGGCCACUGCUCAGCUGCUACACUGACCUUCAGCUAUGCUGAUCUGUGUUCUGAAUGUGCCCUCAGGCCACACUCGUGUUUCUGAGCUGCAUGCUUUCUUGGCUAUAUGCAACACUACACACUGAGUUCACACGCUUGCACAGCCCCUUGUCUGUACUGCACAUGAGCUCCGCAGGUUCCUCACUGCUCCAAAUUGCAAAAUGGCGAGCCUGUUACAUCAGGUUUACUACUGCUCUGCACAGAAGGAGCACAGCAACAACACGUGCUCACUAAGAUGUGCUGCAUGGCUGCAAAAAUGUUACAUGCUGAAGUGAGAUUACUGAGAUUGGUUAAAAAAAUCCUGCCUCUACACCAAAAUGAGUUGCACCUUCAGAACACUGUAGUAAUAAAAUACAGUCACAAUGAAAACGUUACUGAUACAUCCUUUUUCACUGAAGUGGCAUGAAGGACGUUUAUUUUCAGCGAGAUGUCUGAAGGAAUAACCCACAUGCUAGAUAGAUAGUGUCAUGCUAUGCAAGUUGUCUUUUCCAGUAUCUAGCAGAGAGAGCUCUACUGCACUGAAGCACGUGUGGUAAGAGCAAUGGGCCCAGGCUCUUCUUCAUAUUCUCGGCAUACCUGUUGCUAUCACACAGCUGCUCUCAAGUCUACAAUUUCCUGUGCAGUACAGACUGCAUACCACUUCCCCUACAGAAAAAAAAAAAAAAAAGAAAAGAAAAAAAAGGAAAAAAAAGCAUUGCUUGCUUUUAAUUGAUGAUGGAAAUACUGUCAUAUUUUCCACUAGCCAAGCUUGAAACCACUACUGAAUGAACCUUCAUUAAUUUUUCCACAACAUUUUGCAGAAAUGUCAGGAAACAGCUGCACCAGAAAUGAUUAACUGUCCUUAUCACUCGUGUUUCAUUGGCCAACUUGAAAUUAUAUAGUUUUUUCUUCUUCCAAUACUCAACAUUCAAUGACUUUUUUUUUGUUAUUCUUCAGUUGAAUAUCUCAACACACCACUUUUUCUUCAGAACUAUCCAGUUAUGCAGGCUUAGUGGUACACAGACAUUUUAGGAUCAGUGGAGGAAUUUAUACAGUUUGGAGUUGCAUACUUCUAGGAAAAGAUUUCUUCCUGCAGAUCACUCAGCUGUGUCUUUCUUGGAUCAAAUUCAAUUAAAUUCACAAGUCAGAUCGUAUUUGCCGGUCAGACCAAAUUCAUUACACAGACAAACUUCUCUUGCUGUGUCUUCCUUCCUCUCCUGUUCUACUCUUUCCCUUUUUCCUCUUCUCUCCCCACACUUUAUUUCUCACCUCUUCUUCGAGUUAUACCACAUGUCAUAGCUUAUCAUACAGUGCCCUGUAUGUUUUCUGGCAAAUACAACUGGAAUAGUGUGCUUCAUAAUUCCAAACAUGCAGCCACUGAGAUGCUGAAGGCUUGGUACAAAAUGGAGUGCAGCCAUCUGGAGAUAACUGCUAGCAUAGAUCUGAGAUUCCUAGCUGGCUAAAACUUUGCAGCCUUAGAACUUAGCAAAGUAUCUAUGAGCAAAAGAAUCCUCUGACACACAUUUGCACACUGCAGUGGAUAACAUGUAUUUUCAAAUAUUCAAUAUAUUCAAAUACUUUUCAAAACCUUAUUUUCUUCAAAUUUCUGAUGAGAGCACAGCCACAAGAAGCAAGCUUCACAGGAUUACUUUUAAAGACCUACGUAACACAGAAGGUUCUUGUUUACGUUUUGAAAUGUUUCAUUUAGCAUUACUACACCACAUCCCCCGUUAAAUUAAUUCUGCAUAUUUGUCAUCAGCAAAUUUAAAGCUGCAGUUGCUCAAUCUGUGUCUGCGUUGAAGCUAUGGGCCUUGCAUGUGUAAUCUCGGGAUAUGACAGAGGGAAAUGUGCACGUGAAAAGGUGUAUACAUGUACUAGAAGGUACGUAAAAACAAUCCCACCAGGUGUGGUUCAAUGUUAACAACAUUAUGACAUCCUAUCUGCAGCAAAAAGUGGAUUAUUUAAAUAAACUGGAUAGGCACAUAAAUGGAGGUUUACCUAGGCAUUAUAGAGGAAGAAUUCUUCAUGAUGCCUGUUAUUCCCUAUGAUUUGCAUCCCUUGCUUUUUGAAAUGGUCUUUCUACAGCAGUGUGCAUGGCAGAACACGAUUCACAAGCAGCUCUACUCAGAAAGAGCCAGAUUCCGAUGUCCUUACCUGUGCUAGGUAACCUCAUGAAUGUCUUCAUUGUUUUCAGCAGGUUUACAGCUGUCAAAAUCUGGCUCAGGAUCUCUAACACGGGUCAGUAUUACUAUUAAAUUGGUGCAGUGCUGGCUACGAAACAGAUCUGUUUUUAAAUUACUCCAGCAAGAUAUUUGCUUAGAUAGCAGAAACAGCAGUACACUACAUUCUAUUGAAAAUAUCUAUGAAUAUAUAUGGAUUCUAUUUACAAUAAAUGAAACACUGCCAAAAGUACCAAAUUUUUUUUUAAGGAUUCAGUUUUACAAUAUGCAAUGCUGGAUUUCUCCUUCACAAUAUCCUUAUCUGUCUCUGUUCUAGUUUAAAAGCAGUAGCUUGCAGUGUCAGAGGAUUUCAAGGACUGUGUCUCUCCAAUGCGCGGCAUGUUAAUACACUACCCACUAUCGAGUGCAGGGAGACUGCAAGUCAUAGUGUCCAUUUCUGCCUCUGCCAGAUGUUUUCAAGUAUCUUUCUUCUACCUCAGACUGUCAGAAAACUGGCAAAUAAAUGUGUUGCCCCUGUACUCUUCUCAGGGAAGAAGAAACGUGUUUUUCUCUCUGACUAAUAGUGGGAAAAGAAAUGAGUGUUCUUCUUUCUCGCUGCAUUUGCACGUCUUGAGCUGAAACCACCACCACUGAAGCACAGCCUCCUGUUCACACAUUCAGCCACGAGCAGCAGGAUCUAGGGGUAAUGCUAUAACAAAAAGAGAGACCUUGAACUUGCUUCACCUUUUGCAUAGUCAUUUAUAUUUGGGCAAAGUGGAUAACAGCUCCUUUAGCACUAGCGUAGUGGCAUUUUAUGCUCGCCAGGCAUUCACUUUACCCAGGUAUAAAUAGCAAAAGGUUUCAGACAGUAGGGAAUCGGGACCAAUAUCCUCAAAGGAUUCUCAGCCAAAAUAGAGCAGCUAGUCCUGCACAUCACAGCUUGUGCAAUCGCUCUCUGCUGCAAGAAUCAUACCCUGCAGGGCACCCGGGACUGCUGGUUUGGCAGCAUUGCGUGCUCCUGUCUUCAGGGGAAACGCGCCUUCCUAUCGCCCUGCAUCUAGCAGUGGGAUCAAACUGCAAGUUCACACUCAUAAAGCAGGCAAUAUAGGCUUCAGUUUCUUAAUGUGAUCCGUCCAUUAGCUCAUACAGCAUAUUUACUACUCUUCCAGUAUUAAGUGCUGGCUUUAAUGUCCUUAGCACACACGGUAGUGAUAUGUACUGUCACAGUUACAAUAACAUUUAUCUGACUUAUGUUAAUUGAGAGCAUUUAUUCUAAAGUUUAGCAGUCCCAAAUGAAAAAGUAAAGACCAUUACUAGGCUGACACAUUAUAAGGGGAAUUUUCAGCAUACAGGAGAGCCACAGCAACAAGGGCCCAAUGCGUAGAAGUACCAUUACGUUACACACUAAUGAAACCUGAAGAAUCAAUGCUCGAAGCCCAUUUUAGAGGAUGGGCACCAAAGUUCUCAGUUUUACACUUAAAUCUUGCCUGGUGAGUUGGGACAUGGCUAGUUUUUCAUACUGCAGUAUUCCAAAACUCCUUCUUAUAAAUUUCACACACUAUUAAUGCUUCCCAAUCUGGGAGCAGAGCACGGGGGUGCAUCAGGACAGUUUGCUUCCCUGCUGAACUUUCACUGUAAAUUCUACAGGCGAGGACAAUGAAUUGCUUUUGCCAGCAUGUUCCCUGGUAACACUCUUCUCAUCCAGCUCUGAUCCUAGGCUACAUGGGAAGAUGUCUCAGCUCUCAGAGACUGCAGAGGGGAAAUAGAGCGAUGCAGAUUGACACAACUUUGAUGUGGAUCCAAAGGAAGAAAUAUCCCAUAUAGCACCACUGCGGACUGUGGAAUAUUUGGGACCAGUUCCAGGUAUGAGAAAAGGUUUAAGCCCAUUUCAAUUUAACCCCCUCCACUCCCUCCUUCAGUUCAUACAGAAUGAAAUAUAGGUCCAAUCCCAUUUACAGUUCUGAAAAAACAAUAGAGUUUUAUGUCAAAAUACACUAUGCGUUUUCUUUAAACACCUUCUCCUGAGAUCAUCAUAUAGCAUGAGAACAUCUGAUGUCUUCUGUACAUGUCUAGCUCUCGGGGUUACAUAUAAAUGGUAAAAAAUGUAAAACAGAGAGGGCCAAUGAGAAGGAUGAAAUAUUUUCCUAACUUUUCACUAUUUUAAGUCAGUCAUGUUAAAUUCAGAAGGCUAACAUAACUCUCUGAACACCAAGGAUGUGCCAGUACACAGAAGAUUAAAGAAGAGGAGAUUCUCAGUAUUGCAACAAAGUAACUCUGCCUUUAUGGUACAGGCCCUGAGACAAAGCUUAUGUGAAACCUGUCCAACCUGUAACUACCAACUCAAACAUGGAGCUGCAAUGAGCAGCAGAACACAGAGCUUUUCCGGACAGCAUACACUGGCCUCUGUAGUCUAUUAUGUCAUAGAUAACUGCUACGGAGAAUCCGCUAACUGUAAGCUAACUUGAGUAUUGUGAUACUACACUGUCAUCAUUUUCACAACUGUAGUUUGCAUGAACCCACGUGUUCAAGACCCAGAGGAAAAAAAGAAACCUUAAUCACAGUAUCAUCAAUGGCGCACUUGAAAUGGUGAGAUGAUCCAAACAGAUCACCAGAUUAUAAUUCAAGGCCAUUUAAAAAUUAAAUAAUAAUUAAAAAAAAAAAAAGAAACCACAAUACCUCUUUCAGAUAUCAAAACCUCAUCCACCAUUUUUUUCUUUUAUUUUAGACAAGUACAUUUUUCUGCCUAUUCUUUCAAAAAGCGUGCUCCUUGGACUCUUGAAGCAAGAACUGCACAAAGAAGGGAAAGUGGCAAACCAAAUAUAUGGUCAAAGCAAAGACAGCACUUCUGAAUUAAUAAAAACAUAACCUUUCCAGAAAGAGAGAUGCCUCUGGUUUCACCAAGAGGUGACAAAAGGACAUGUAAUCAGUUACUAUUUAAGUGUGAAUGACUUCUGGUUGAAGCCCUCUGAGAACAAAAAAAUAUUCACUGAGGCCUGCUCCCCAAGUUCAUUUGAACCCAUCCUUUCCUUGUUCUCCUACCUGUCUGCUGCGGUCAAAGGUGCAAGUGAAUAAUGGUUCCAGUCAAGGCAAUUUGGUUCACCACUCCAGCAAAUACGGCUGUCCACACUCUCCUCCACCUAUUUAGAAAACAAACACGAAGGAUUUUUAAGGACUUUUGCCAAGUCAUCUUGCUAUGGUAUUGGCUACAUUAAUACAAAUAGGAACUUCAGAGAGCCAGACACUGUCCUUCUCGCUCCCUAGGUAUUUCUCCCUCAGAGCAAUGUGACACCAGAAAUCAGUAUCAGUUCUGGGGAUUCCACCUUGCAGUUAUCUACAAUGCAUGUCAACUAAAAAUAUUCUGAAGUGAAAACUAGACUCACAAGACCUAGACCAAAAGGUAUAUACAAUGAUUUACUUUCAGACAUACAAAUACACCAAGCAGAAUAAGCAUAGAAAGUAUGGCAGUGCCUUGGUAGUAUGGUAACAUAUGUGUUUUUAAUAAGAUGUAUUUUUAAUUAAACACAAGUAUUUUCCUGUCUUUGAAUCAGAGCGGUGCAAGUAUCUCGCAUGCCACUUCUUUGCUGCCUGGAACUGUGCUCUAAAAGUGGGAUCACCCCAUGAAUACUGAGACAAUACACCAUCAGUGAUCUCCUAGGGACCAUAUAAUCAAACAGCUGUGAAGCACAGAUAACCACAGGCCACAUUUUUCUCGGGAUCCUUUCUUCCAGGACUCCCUAUGUCCUUGAAGACGUGUACAUGAAAUGCUACUGCAAACUACGUGCCAGGGAUGAGCAGUGAGGUGCUCACUCCAGGGUGGAUGUGCUCCUGGAAAGAAAAGCACCCUCAGGGAGAUCCUGGAGAGUGACAUGAUGGCACAUAGUCCCAGGGAGAGAUCUUGUGUGUCUUUUUCCUGCCCUUUGCCCUGCCAUGCUCCACAGUGCAUGGACAUGACGCUGCUGGCUGUCUACCCUCAUGGGGCAGCUGGGUCACCGCAGCAGGAGAGCUACCCAUUCCUCGAGGACUUACAAACAUUCUGGACAGAGGCCUCUGACAGGAAAAUGCCCAACUCAGCAAGCUAGACCUGUAGAUUGAUGGCCAUGACCUAAUCGUAUCCCUACAGAAGCAAGCAGCAAACCUCUCUAGGUUUUCAUGAGCACAAGGCCUGCCCGCACUGCCCUGUGCACUGGCAAAGACUGACCAAUGUGCUACGGGCGAAGCCUCAUAACUCCGUGAUUUCGUCAUCAGCAGAGUGCAGAUGUGAGCUGAGGGAAACAGUGCCAAAAUGUGAAUGUUGAGGAAGGUCUGGAAUGAGUUAGUAAGAAAAGGCAUAUGCUUAUAUUUUCUGCUGUAAUGUUUGCUAUCAGCAACAAAAACAAAUAUCAAAUGAUAAUGUGUUACUAACUGGCAGUGUCAACAGUGGUCUAUAUAGGCAUCUGAGUAUAUAAAAUAACAUAUGCUCUGGCUCCAGACCCUAACACUUUAUCACAUCAAUAUACAGCUUUCUAGGAAAUUAAUCUGGAUGCAGAGCCAGGAACCACUUUUCAAUCUCCGGGCAGACAGGGCCCAAUAUGCUUUUAAUCUAUGGGUGAAAGCAGGGCAAGGCUGGACUCAAGGGCAAAACCCUGUUUAUAGCAGAGCCAGUAUUUCACUCUCUAUUUUUACAACUAGACUGAGAAAAGUUCCUGUCAGAAAAGAAAGCAAAGCAAUAAAGAAACCAUGAGUUGUUAUUAGCCCAUUCUUCAGUAAAACCUAGGGGUGCUCCAAAUUGCAUCUUGCUUCUCCUGGUAAUAAACAGAUAUCCUCCAGCCCCUAAGCAUGCAGCCCCACACCUUACACUUUCAGAGAGGCCUAACUGGCUUUAAUGACAAUGGUCACACUUGCACAAAGUUGUUCUUAAUGAAUAUAUAUUACAAAUCUGUUUAUGCAGUCUCCAACCCAAAGACAAGGGGGCCAUUUAUGGUAAAUCCAAGCAGGAGCAGAGGGGCAUUCCAUUAAAAGACAACAAAAUCACAAGGGAAAUAUGCCAUUUACAAAAUCAGCUUUUAACCGAUGGGAGCCAGCGUAUUUCCCCAUGAGGUAGACUUCUCUGUCUUCAGCAGUGUUCCUCAAAAGAUAUACCAGGAUCUGAUCCAAGUGUGAAAGACUCCCACUGACUUCAGUGAAGGUUGGAUCAGUUUCCGAGUAUUUAAAAAGCUUACCCUUUACUUAUAAUUAGGUUAAAUAUUAUUCAAAGCAAGAUCUGUUUAAGGACGGUAUGAUUUUGUCUAAUCAGUACUAUUGCAUAUCCUUACUAACUCAACAACCCUACAGCAAUGCUUGAGCUUGCAAGCAGUAUGUAGUGUGAGGGAGGGAACAGCUAACCUACAAUGCCUUUAACAACCCCAGAUAAUGCAAGUGUCAUCAAACAGAAUGUUACUACCCAAUUAAAGCUUCCAGAGGCUUUGUUGCGAUACUAAACCCAGAACUUUUAAUUUGUUUUUAUCAUCAAGUUAGUAAAAACUUGUGCAAUAUUGGGUUAUUUGGAAGUGAAAGAAAACAUUCCUUUAACAACUACCCACCAAAGAAAGGCAGCAGUGCAACAACCACUGCACAUCAUUUGCUAGCAUUUGGACAUAUCUGGUCAAGACUGUUUUAAUCUACUGCUGUUGUUUGCCAGCCAUGGAGACUAAGUUAAACAAGUGCAUCAGAAGGGGAAUGAGAGUAUGAGAAACACGGCAUGACUAGGAAGACUUUUUCCAAUUUGAGCUUUGUAGCUUAUACUCUCAAGGAUGAGUCCUUUUUACACUGGACCUGAAAACAUGAAAAUGGAGGUACUCUGAUGAUUACUCCUACCCUUUGCUUUUGAAGAGUACUAGACUCUCCCUUAGCAGUUUCAGUAGUUAUCUUAUGAUUGUACAGCUACAUGUUUAGCAGUGAAAUUAAAAUGUAGCAGUAGGCAUUGUUAUCAUCUGACCAUAAAGGUAAAUACAUUUCACUGAUCAACAAGAACUCUGUUUUGUAUUAGUUCUUAUCUAUCUGUUACACUGUCGCUAUUACAUUAGUUGAGGGGGUACCAGAGGAAGAUUCCUGUGCACUUCACAAGACUAAAAAAAGUACCAGGAAUCUCAUGUGUACUUUAAUGAGAAACUAAAGUUUAAGGAAAACAACUGGCAAAUAUUUAUUCUGCUGCUAAUUAAUCUAAGGCUUUGAAAUAGCACAAUAAAUGGGUAAAAUUUUCUCAAGAGUACAAAGGGCAAAUAAAGCCUUGCCUGCGUUACUCCUUAACUUGCUUGCAGCAGGUAUCAUUCCAGCAGACUGUAUCUUAUCAUUGGAAGGGAAUUCACCUAACAACUCCGUUUGACCACGUCUAUCAGAAAGCCAGACACUAUUUAAAUUGCAGCCAGGUUCCCAGAUGGCAUAAGAUAAUUCAAAUCAAGGAAGAUCCACACAACUUGGGUAGAAAAACACUUUUCUUGUACACAUCUGUAGCUUGCCAUCCCAGAGCUCUAACUCAUUUCUUGUAACUCACAGAACUAAGGCAAUACACAAACCUCCCCCUUUUUUACAUGGGUUCAACCCCCCUUCAGAUAUGUGAAACAGUCUGUGUGGACUUUGUAAUGAUCUCUUUGCCCUCUUUCUCCUUUUCGAACACAAAGUUCAGAGAUUACAGUUCUUAGUGGGAGGAGUGAGAAGUCUAAAAUUUGCUUGACUGUCACUGUGAUGCAUUAAGCUCCAGAAAGACAUCAAUCUCCAUCUCAGUACUUACUCUCUGAACAGGCAAUAUUUUACAGUUACCAUUCCCUAAACAAAGCACAAUUUAUUAAACACACAAUUCGAAAGCUACAGCAGCUAAGACUGGAAGUAAAAAUAUCUCCCUACUUGAGGAAGGUAAAAGCCAUGUCAUGCUUUAAAUUAACUUAACAGGAACAAUGGCAGAACACAACCACCUAAGUAACAUCGUUCAAACCCAAAUGCAACCAUACUACAUGCAAUCAAACUUGGAAAAAGUGAAAGAAAAUGUUUCCCAUUACUAUACUGGUGUUCUCACUUUACGUGUUCACACAAAUCAUCUGUGAGUACUCUACCUUUUCCCUCUUAAUUCCAAGUCAUUCUGGCAGCUCUGGCAACUACAAGCAGUUUGCUGAAAUUUAUGGAUCAAAUCUUGAGCUACCUCCAAAUUUAAAGGGAUGAUUUUUUUUUUUAAUAAUUUUUUCCUGUGCUGUAAAUGUUUUCAUCUUCAUCAUUGAAACAGAAAGUUUAUUUUUUUAUUUUUAAUUUUUAUUUAUUUAUUUAUUUAUUGCAAUAGGAUUAUGAUAGUCUAUUAAAAUUUUGUUUCUUCACAGCUUUGUUGGUAUUUUGCUAGCACCACGCUGCAGAUCCAGACACAAAGAGCACCAAGAAAUCUCUGCAACAUUUUUCAUUUGCUGAAAUUUAUAUGCCUGUGAAUUUACAUGUAUGUGUGCUUGCAUAUGUGUACAUAUUAUGUAAAUAAAAAUAGUCACGCAUGCUAACACAUGUAUAUGCUGUUUCUAUUGUGUCUCAGCCUCUCCUGAAAGCUAGCAAUCAGAACAAAAUUUACCUAAAAGAUACAUUAUCCCAAAUAACUUCUGGAACAUCACCUGUGAACUUUGUUUAUUCACCCAUAAGCAAUUCACUCUAUUAAAAUCAAGCACCUGAUUUCUUUGGCAAUGUUAUAUGUAGUGUUUGGAACUACUCUAAAUUACUUCCUUCAUUCCCAGAACCCAUGAUGUGCAGGAUCAUAUUUUGCUGCUAGCACUGGAACUAUGAUUUUGGGUUACUCUUUUUUUUUCCCAAUUCAGCCAGGAGCUAAAUUAGCAAGAGCACAUCCCCCUAAGUAUAGGUCCAUAACCUCACUACACAUAGCAGUUUAGACGCUGCCAGCUGAGAUCAGUGCCCUCAGCUAACCAGGCUUGAUGCUUUUAGACAAUGGUCAGGCUGACAACUGACACUGUGUCCACAUACACAUGUUGCUCAACCCAUUUGUCUGCUCUCCUGUUGCCAAAAGAACAGGACUGCUUGGCCAGGCAGCUGGUACAAAGAUGUGAGUACUUCUAGGGGUCCUCUGAGAGUGGGCAGGGAAGGCCAAAACAUCAGGCCUCCACUGAGCCCAAGAUAGGAUUUCUGAUAAAGCUCAUGCUCUAAGCAAUCCAAAUAGGCUUCAGCAAUAUCACCACAGGGAACUUCCUCCAAAAGUACCUUGAUGAAAAAGUGUCAGGGAUGAAAGCUCGCUUGCACCUGAGAAGCUGGCAACUAAGCAGACACACAAAACAGCAGGAAAGUGUGAUGCCUGGGGACAAGAGAAAUCUGUCAGCAGAGAAAAUAUGUGAAUUCUAAGGACUUGGGUUCUGCUUUCAGAGUUUUGGUUGUUGUUAUCUGCAAAAUCUAAGCAUUACUCUCUACCAAAAUAAAUUUAAGACCUCAGCAAGACUGGUGUUAAGUCAGAGCACAGACUUUAUACCAGGCAUACUGGUAUAUGCAGAUCAGUCUCUGAUACUGCACUCCUAGAUGCAAAGCCAGCUCAUACAACAAAGGAUGCACUACUCUCUUUUCGGGUCUGCAUCCACGGUGAAGCACCAUCACUGGCAGCUGUACAUUUAUCCUAGAAAUCAGAACUGGCCAUCAAUACACUUCUGAUCAGAAUCUUUGCUAGCAGUUCUUCUGGAUGCCAUAUGACUUCUUUACAAGGAGGUGGGUGCUCUCUAUCCCUUGUUCCUUCCACAUCUAGAAAAGGAAUGUUUAAAAUGUCCUCAUUCCCAGUGCCUUCACACUGUUCCUCCAGGACUAAAGGAGGAAGAAGGCUGUGGAGUCCUCGGUCCUCUGCUGUGAGGCAAGAUCCCUCUGCACUGAUGUCACUGCACUCUCGGUGUGUGCCCGGUAAGACAGUAAUUUGUCAUGAGCGUGGGCCCUAUCCAUACAUGGCAGGCUGGAGGAGGAAUGACCUCAAACUCCGUUUCUGAUCCAGAGGGCGUUGUCAGAGCACAGUGUUUGAGUUUGAUGCAUGAAGCGCAGAGAUAUUUUCAGCUCCUGAAUCACACUUCUGGCUCCACAGCUAACUUGAACUUUUCCUUAAUUUUGUUUGCAAUUUUUCACCUUCUGCUAUCACCAUUGGGCUCUCAGAGAAAGAAAAUGAGCUGGUUACAGAAAAAAAAAGCCUUAUUAUGAGGAUUUUUUUUAAAUCACUUUCAUUUUAAUUGCUUCUAUUUUAUUCUCCUGUAUGUGUGGAGCAGUGGAAUUAAACAAAUGACUGAUAGAUUAGUGGUGCAUCACAAAUGUCUGUUGUUUUUUUUUGUUGUUGUUGUUGUUUUUUAAUAUGCUAUUAAGUACUGCCAGUGAAUGUUUUCUAAUGACUUUGAUGUCCAGUACAAGAACAAAAUGGCCUGAAAAAUCAGGCAGUGCAACAGCAGUUAACCUGGUUGCAGCUAUAGGAAAGCUCUGAGGGAUCAAAUUUGUAUAUUCCUAUAGUUAAAGCAAAAAUAUUUUGCUGUACUGUUGCCAUAACACAAUAUUGACUUGACUAGAAUUCAAGAGCAUAACUUGAAACUGGCUGUAAUGAAAACACAGAGCCUCACUUUACAAUACCAAAAGAAUAAGUUCUAAUUGGCAUAUCCUGCCAAUUACGACUGCAUCACCUCUCCGUUGCCAUGGCCUGAUUCCUGAAUUCAAUAGGAAAGCUCCAGGAAAAUGAACAGACAAAUUAUGCAACCUCAGUCACAGCUGAGCAAGUCAUUUAGGCAUACGCUUAAUUCCAUCUCUAAGCAGUAAAGCCAGCUCAGCAAAGCAAGGCAUGUGCUCAAGUUAGAAGUGAAUAGGUGGCAUGCAUCCUUCUGAAUGUUUUUUAUUUUUUUUCCAUAGACUCUGGAUGUAGCGAAAAACUUCCCGAUUUCCUUGGAGCUCAUCAUGCUGGAAGAAGGUUGAAUUCACUCACACACGUACCAAUCUUUUUAACUCAUCCAUAGAUUGAUUAAGCAAAACAAAUUAAAAAAAAAAAAAAGAAAAAAACCAACCAUGUGGGGCAUAUCCUUGAGCAGAGAUAAACAUGCAUGCUACCCACUGAUUACAGGGAAGCACAAAGGCAGGAGGAGGUGAUGCAGAAAAGAUGACAUAACAAGCUACUAUAAGGAAAUCCCAUGCAUCCACAACUGCUGAUAAGACUCUUGUAGUGUUUUCACGUAGAACUGGCAGUUUCCUUAUCCAUCAGAACAGGGUCAUGGGCACUUAACUCCUCUACUUCCGUUUGCCUCACAUAGCAAGGAGGAAAGAGUAAGAAAAAUGACCACAUGAUAAGAUAAGGGAUGUGGUCUCUCCUAGAUGCAAUAAAGUAAUUGGGCAGUCUCUAAAGUCUUUUCCUUUAAAUUUUCUUUAAUCUCAGCAAGAAACAUUAAUCUAACAGAGACAACUUCCAGGCAAGCAUGAUUCCCCAGGAGCAUUCCUCAACUGCAGAUAACUGGGGGAAAAAAAAGGCCUGUUGCAAGCAGGGGGGCUGUAUCAGUUGAUGAGGAAGGUGUAUUUGGUCACAGGCUGUACUGCUCACCUGCCGCUGCCCGCCUGCCCAGAUGGAAGGGCCUCAGGUACCUUCCUGUUUCAUCCUCUCUCAGAGGUCAGUGCCACAGGGUUGCCUGAAAUCAUGCUGCCCAAGGUUGUUUUCUCCUGUAUCCCUGGGCAGAAGUCUGGAGGAACCCAGACCCCAAACUCUACUGGAAGGGUCUGGAGUGGGUCAGAGACCUGAUCCAUUCUCUGUUUAAGGUUACAAUUUAUCCCUCCUCCAAGGGUACCGUGAGCCAUAUACAGAACAAAAGUUUGCAGGAAUUAAACUACCACAGCAAAAGACACAUUAUGCAAACAUCUCUCUUUUGAGAUGACACAACAUAGAGCAUAAAGCACAAACAAAACCAAAACAAACAAAGCAGAAAAGCAUUGUGGAAUUAAAAAAAAAUCAUUUCUUGAAGAGCUUCUCUGCUCCUCUUACACCCAUUAGGACAGCAAUAAUGCUGAAAUGGACAGCCAGCCCUGAAAACUGGAUAAACUGAGACAUAGAGAAAACAACUGAAAGCAAGGAGAGAGACUGAAAAAAUAAGCGAGACAACAGAUGGAAAGUAGAAAUGCAAUGUCUAAACUGCAGCUGUAAUUCUGCCAGUAGCAAACAUGUUUAAGAACGGUUCAUCCUGCUUUCCUAUUCUGGGGAGGCAGGAGUUUUCUUGUCAACAAAACUGCCAUGGAUUCUCCCCAGACAGUUGGUGGGACAGGAAAAUUAUUUCCCUCCACACCUAGGAGCAAAACUACGCAUCUAAGAAAGGGAAAGCCUCUGACACCCCCUGGUUCCUCAUUACACAGUUGUUCUAGUACAGCUGGGGAGCACAGAGGGUCACCUCAUUAAAAUCUAUGUCCACAACUACCAGAGCUGUAUUUUAGUUGCUGCUGGCCAGGGGUCAAUGAAAGGUAUUGUUCGGAGCUCUCCCUUGGCAGUACAACUCUGCCAGUCACUCUCCUUUACUAGCUUGACUGUUAGAAUUACACAGGAAAAAGGUUGUUAUUAUUCUACCAAUGUUUUAUAGACUAAUUUGGCAGUUUUUCUAGCAUGGUUUUAGUAGUUUUGAUAGCAUGCUAGUAUGGGAAAGAAGGAUUUCCACAUUGGCUCAAGAAACAAUGCUGGCAAGACUACCUAUUUUUAACAUGGUUUAUUCCUAUUUCAGACACAGCACUUUCUCUCCCAUCUGUUGACACAAUUGUUUUGUUUUUUAAAAGACACAGUUGUCUGUCUCUUGGAGAGAAGAAACAAUGAUCCCCAAUAGCUGCAGAGAGAAACAGGAGACUAAAACCUCAUCAAACAGCGCGCUGGUCAGAAGGUAAUGCUGCUUGGUUUAUGAGUGAAAAAUAGAGCCUCUUAAGGAUUCCGAUCCUUCUUAAAAAUUACAUCAGGUUUUGGCUUCUGUGGUAUUGUAAGUGUGACUGUGGACUUUUAAAAUUCACAUCUGAUAUGCUCACCAACUAACUAAGAUGGCUUAUUGAUCUGGGGAGCCUAACUGCAAGCCUGCCAUCAGUGACACGCCAGCCUGCUCAGCGGGAGCGCAGCCACAAGAUCGGAGCCAGAGGCAGACCUUUUCAUUCCUUUCUUUACUAACAAAAGGAAAAUGUAAUGACAGCACUGGCAGAGAGAAGGGAACACCAAAAAUUAUUAAUAUGAUAAAAAUUCAACUCAUAUAGCAGGAUAAAGCAUUAAGCAAUCCUUUUGACACCGGGGUUGUCAGGCUGCUUUCUCAGAUUUUUGAUGAUAGAGUUUUUUUUCCUCAUUGGAUUGCUGAAGCUCCUGGUUAUGAUCUCCCAGGCAAUCUGAAAACCUCAUCUCCUUUCAAAGGCAUUCCAGGCAGCCUGAGAGUUUGUAGCAAAUAAAGCUGAAGCGCGGCUGAGGUGGGACCUCUACAGAUCACUACAGCAACCUCAGCUCUUGUAGGACAGCCUAUUUGCUGGCAAAGCUGCAAUAUGAAAACCUGAUAUAUUAAAGGUCAAGACUCCAAUACAGAGCAGACUCAUAUGUAUUGUGUUUUAAUUUCUUUUUACGCAGAGAGGUGUCUAGGGACCUGGAGAGGUGACAGAAAGAUAAAUCAUGCACGACAAACUGGAACAGAAGACAAGGCUGUAUCCAGAAUAGGAUCUCUCCACUGUUGCAGCUGUCCUAGCAAACUGUAUUGAUAGCGUGUCCCCAGCACAGGCUUCAUUCGUACUAGCAAAAUUGUAUUAUUUGCUAGCAUAGCUUUUUCCUAAGGUUCCUCUUUCCUUAUCCAGCAGGUAAAAAGUGUAUCCAUAAAAGUAGAGGUUUGUCAUAAGUGUCUCCACAGUGAGAGCUUCUGUGUCAGUCAGGGAUCGCAUCAAGGAUCAAGCCUCUUUACACCUUCGGUCAAGACAGUUAUGUCAGCACAAGUCUGUGUAACAGGCACGUUCCUCAUCCGCCUGGAGUGAAAAGUCAGCAGUCACCUGCUGCAGCGUUCUGGGCAGGAAUGGAGAGUCAGGCUGAGCAUACUUAUCCCACCCUGACAGGAAAAACUGCACCAAACCAAGUGCCUGGGAUCAUACUUAAAGAUAGAACCACAUUCACCAUGAUGAUGAAAAAUACAGCUGACCUAAGAUGUAUUUUCAAGGAAUUAUCACGUGGAUCUGCUUUCAGGAGCUGUCUGAAAAGAUAUUUUCCAGGAGUGCUAUGUGGUAUGUUCUACUGUUCACAAUCACCCAAGUGAUUUAAGAUUUUAAUGCCGUCAUCUAUAAUCUUUGUAAGAGAACGGGCAGUGACUUUAACAUGCCCUUGAGAAAUGAAGAUUCAUGAGGGAUCUGGCAGGGCAUUCAUAUAUCGCUUGCAGACUGGUAAAAGGGCUCUCCUGCCUUUAGUCUGACAAUGUCUAGAGCUGUGGUCCUUGCCCGUUCCAAAUUAUCUAAUUUCUUUGCAAGGAAUGCAGUACAUAUUACUGGAAGGCUGGACCUACUCCAGGCGACUAUGGUUUCUAUGGACAGGAAGCUUUAAGGUUUAGGAUUAAAACAGCAAGAGGCUGAACAUUGAGGACCUAGAAAUAACCACCAAUGGUCCUGAUGCAGUCCUCUCUGAGGACACUGCAGCUCUCAAAAAUACAGGGAACAACUUGGAGAAUUAUCUCAGAUAAAAUACUAGUUUUUGGAUGACAGUGGGAAGCUCCUGCAAAUACAGUAAUGCAACGGGUUCUGGCAUGUUUUCACUUAUGGACUUCAACCAAUUCUGCAGAGCAUCAUGUAGGAAAACACAAAAUAUAGAAGCUUGUAGCUAUCUGAUCUAUUGCAGCAUGUCUCAUUUAAAGGAAAACUACUGGAUCUAUGUUUUUGUUCUUUUUUUUUUUUAAAAAAAAAAGGGUAAACUGUGACUUAUGACAGUAGACCUCUUCUUCCCCUAGCUGUAGAAGCUGAAGAUGGUCCUGUCUCCAUUUGCUCCUGCCUGACUGAAGGCUCAUGCUUACUAUUUCAGUCAGUGUGAGCACUCCACUGACCUUCAACAGCCACUGAAGCCAACCCAGAUGGCUAUGCCUGCAGUAAGAAACAGAUCACUUUCAAAACUCUUUCAACAAGUAGAAUGGUUAGCUAGUUAGCAGUGAUUAUUCAUGGGCAGUGUCAUCUUCAACCUUUACAGCACCACGUGAAGGCAAUACCUGUCCAUUAUCCAAGAUCUGCAGCAUAGAUGAAGAGAUGAAGAAAAGGCAUGAUGGAAAAUUUGAAAUUCUGUAUCAUUACUGUGCAAACUGAAAAAGUAAACUUGACAGGAACCCUCCCAGACUUAAGAGCUCUAAAUAAUAAUUACGUGGUACUCGACAGUAGACUCCUUGCUUUAAGGAAGAUAUACAGAUUAUAUCCUGAAUUUUCAAGACUCAAUAACGUUGAUGUGGUCAAGGUGCCACUCUGAUAUUCUUUUUUAAUGGCCAAGACAACAAAACUACUUUUCACAUCCCCCAAAAUGUCACUAAAAACAAUAUAUUUUAAAUUAGAAAAUUAUUUACCUUUGAAAUAUAAAUGGCAAUGCACAUGAACAGAGCCUCCUCUGAGUUUAUUCAUGUCUCUGUUCAAGAGUCAAGUGGCCAAAUCACAUUGACAUCCAUUGAAAAUCUGGCUUUAAGCUGUCUUUGCUCUCUCUGCUGUGUUCAGCAGAAGUUUAGUGCAGCUGCAGUCAAAAGACUAAAGACUGCAAGGUGGCAAUUUCACCACGACUUGUCCCCUUAAAACCUCCAAGUUUCAUUCGGCACUAGGGCUUCUGCUCAAAAAUUAAUAGAAAACAGGAAAAUGGUAAGAGGCCACACUGACUGUGGAAAGUCCAACUGAAGAAAAACUGCCCUAGGAGAGGAUCCAAGAAAGAGCAUGGGACCAAAAAUACUUUCAGACAGCACUGUCGACAUGUUAAACAGCAGAAGUGUUUCUGCCAGGAAAACAUAAUGCCACCACUAAGAAACAUAAGAAAUCAAGUUAAAGGCCUCUCAAGAGGGGGAAAAAAAAAAGGCAGAACAAACAAUAGCAAUCAUUUCAGAAACUCAGACACAAAUAAAGACUAAGAAAGAAGAUGAGUUGAAGAAAAAAAAAAGGACAAAAAAGACCCCUAAUGAAUUCUACAUCUCCAAAGAGUUAUUCAAAUUCCCACUUCAUUGUUUCCAGAGAUGAAUACCACAGAUUCUGAUUCAGGAAAUGUGAACAGAUAUAUUAAAAUGCGGUCAAUUCCUCCCAAACUGUUAUGUGCCAUUCCAGAACCUUUGACAUCACCAAAAUGAUCACUUGAGAUCACUUCUAAAAUGAUUAAAAAUAAAAACAAAAACAUAAAGAAAACAAGCUAUUAUUCUAUCAAGACUGCUUAACAGGAGAUGAGUAGAACUGACAGACCUCAGGGAAAGGCCAGUGGCCAGCCAGCACAGCACGCUUCACCUGCCCAGGAUAGGGUAAAGCACUUCUCACUGCUUUUCUAAGUAUCACUUACUAACACUCCAGGUCCCCAUUACUUCCAAAUUGGCUUUAAAAGUGAUAAGUAAACAGAAUCAUUUGCGUUGGAGCUUCUUCCUUUUUCAUUCUGACAAAUCAAAGAACUGCAUCAGUUGAACUACAGAGCUGUGUUUCUGCACCUACGUGCCAAUGUUUUUCAUAUCACUUCAUUACAACUAGUCCUGGCAUGGAGCAGUCCCCAGUGGGUUUGCAGAUCAUUACAGCAACAUGAUUAGAAAGCUUGAUCCAAAUAUCAUAAAAGUCAAUGAAACUUGGAUUGAGCCCAACAAGAAAUAUUUUGUUCCUGCUGUGGGUGGUUACAUACACAUUACACUUUUUCUAGUGAUAAAAGUGAGUGUUCCUCCAUGCGCCAAUUUUAAUAACAGUACAGCCUGCUUUUGAACAAUAAACUGUCAUGAAAAAAAACGUAACCUGAGAUAGAAAAAUCAUAGAAUCAUAGAAUCAUCAAGGUUGGAAAAGACCCACAGGAUCACCCAGUCCAACCAUCCACCCAUCACCAUUAGUUCUCAUUAAACCAUGUCUCUCAACACAAUGUCCAAACGUCCCUUGAACACCUCCAGGGUCAGUGACUCCUCCACCUCCCUGGGCAGCCCAUUCCAGUGCCUGAAACACUCUUUCAGAGUAGUAGUAUUUCCUAACGUCCAGCCUGAACCUUCCCUGGUGCAGCUUGAAGCCAUGAUCAAAACAUGAAGCCAUCGUGUUUUCUGUGCCCGGGAUCAAUCAAAAAUCCCACUGACUACAGUAACAGUUGAGUAAGACUACCACACUGUUCCGUAAAGGAAUGCAUUUACACACAUACAAUGUGCACAUACGUCCACUUACUGACCUGUAUGUCACAAAAACCCUCCUCUGAAAAUUAUGAUUAUGAUGAAUAUUUUUAGGACAGGAGACAUAGCUCGUAUGGUCAUGGGCACACAGAGUGCGUCCCACUUUCUGUAUUAUAUUAUUCUCUAAAAUGUCAUACAUUUCCCAUCUUUGAAAUAGAAAGAAAUUUUUGUGAAAAAAAAAGUUUCAUGCUAAGUAAUAAAAUAUUUUAAAAACAGUCUAAACAUUCAUAAUAUAUUUUAAUAAGGAUACAAGAGAUUAUUCAUAAGCAUUACCACACUACUGAAUUUAUGUAAUAAUUAUUUGGCAUGUUACACCUGUUACAAUGUGUAAAGUAAUCUUGAUAAUAUUUCUAGUCUGCACAGUGUUCUUAGCACAGAGGGCUUUUUUGUCAGUAACAAUUAAUAUAGUAACUGGAAGAAAAAUCCAAUCUGACCAAAAUCCAAGAGAGGUACCUGAAGAAAACAAAAAUAACAUAAAACAUUUGGGCUGGAAGCAAACUCGAAAUGGGUUAUCCUCUAUCAUCUUUAAUAGACGUGUAUUUAGUCUAGCCAAACAGAUUCCACACCCUCCCAAGGCAGUUUGCUCCACUGACCUAAAUGUUACUUUGUAGUAACCCCUUUCCAAUAUUGAACAUUCACACAAAAUGUUCUCUGCUGCUGUUUAAUCACAGUAUUGUUCCCCUUUUAUCUUCAGUAACACAUGAGGACAUGUUGCUUCACUCUUCCCAGUUCUUUUGGAUGCAUAUGUGCAGUUGUAGCUCUGAAUUACAGUUUUUCCAGUCUCAAUGUACCUAGAUUUCAUGUCUGAAAUACUCUUUUAUCUUGUGUUUGAGCUUUCCAUUUCACUGAAGAGCCCCAUGAAUUGAGGUUACUUUUGAUUCUUGAUUUUAUGAGCUGAAGAGGAUUUGAAAUGUUUGCACCAAGUCUACUUAUUUUAUGAGGCUUGAAGUUACAUUAUGUCUCCCUACUUUACUGUGGUAUUUGUUCCUCCAGAUUUAAUAUUAUCCUCCCAAGAAACACCUUGAGAAAAUCACCCAUACAAAACCAAUAGUAAACAAAACAAAAUACCAAUAACAAACCACAGUAAUGAGAUACCUGGAGCUUAACACUGCUGCUCUUCAGGAUGUGCUAUAUAAUUCCGGGGAACAUGCACCCAGACUUGAAUAGUUUUACCUCCUUACAUAAACAUACAUCUCCCCUUAGAGAUUUGGUGCUGCUAGGAGUGAAGGUAUACUAGCACCAAGAUGAUCUGAGCAUAUUCACAGAAUACACGGAGGUUGCCGAGUACACACUAAACUGCUUCCAAGCUGCUUCUGAUAUGCCUAGUUAGACUGCAGUCAUGGCAAAGGCACAACUUUAAUGGGAUAUGAAUUCCUCCACGCUCCAAACGUGGAUGAGGGACAGGACAUGGAAAAAGCUGGUGACCUGCUCAACACUUACAGAAUCUUUGGUUGAAAUGCCUGGAAUCACACAGCGUAUGUGCAAGACUUUUGCCAAAAUCACGGGCAUGUGAGAACUCUGCCAGUGCCUAACACUGACCAUGGUCAGGCUACUGUGCUUGGAGCAAUUUCUGAGCAAUCCAAACAUAAAGGCUUAAGGUGUUCAGAUUCUCCAUCCAUAGCAGAACACCUGCCUCAGUUUGAGUAUCUGAGGACUAAUGAGUAUUUCCAUGGGUAUGGAUUAAAAAUACUGAAUUCAUUUGGUGCAUCACAAUACACAUGCAUUUAAGCAGAACUUGGGACUUCAAAUCAAUUACUUGCCUGUAACAUAAAAAAUCCUUUUUACCAAUGAAAAUACAUGCCUAAGGAAAGUUGUAGAGAAGAGAUUCUCAUACUCAAAGACUUUUUUUCUCUGUUUUGACAACAAAAUUGCAGAGGGCAUCACAAAGAUGCACCCCACAAUUGCUUCAAAUAGCUCCAACGCAGUACUCAUCCAACCUGUUUUUAGAAUCAAUAAGAGAAAGGUUUGGAUUUUCUUGUUUUUGGCCAUUUCAACAAACAGAGGACAUUGCUGCCAGGACUGUCUUUGCCUGCUGCCAGCACACAAAGCUGAAAACAUGCUUAACAAGAGCAAAGCAUGAGCAACUUAGGUACUGAAGAAAUAGCUGUAAGGUCUGAUACAAACAGACAAGCAUUAAGUCUCCGAUAUGCAGCUCAGAAGACUGGCUUAUUUACCAUAAAUAGACCUACUUCUGUUAUGUCACCUGAGACCUUGGUUAGGCCACAAUUACUGUUUUCUUUCUACCUUUCUUUCUACCUUUCUUUCUUUCUUUCUUUCUUCCUUUCUUCCUUUCUUCCAGGCAACUGACAAGUUACAUUUCUUAUAUAAUGCUGCUGCAUUGCUAACCUGAACCAUAAUGACUGCUCAUUAUAAGGUAAUUAGGAGUGCUGAGAUCAAGAGCUGUCAAUAAUUUGAUUUGCUCCAUAUAAGGUAAAAAGUUAUCUUUGCUACAAAGGCAAUCCCAAUUGCAUCUUUUGAAACAGCAACAAAACCUAUUGCUUUCAUUGGAUUAAAUCAUACCCUCAGAACUCCCUCCAGCCAGGCACUCGAGCCCAUGUCACUGCAGGUCUAUGGGACGAGGGCACAGCAUUGCAAAUUCUCCUGCCUGCACUCCUGCGUGGCAUACAGCCCUCCCCCACCUUUUCAGCCUUCAGUGAAACAGCUCGGUACAGAAAACUGCACUGCUUAAGGCCACAUAGAUUUAAUGUUUUCUGUAUAGAAGAAAAACUUAUACACAGCAAAUUUUCAGUCUCAAUUUUUAUUUAUUUAUUUAUUUGCUAUUUUUGCUGUCAAUUUAGUGUAGCUUAAUAAAGACAGUGAAAAGAAAUGGCCUUUAGCAGGGAUUUACGUUCCAAUAGCAAAUUCUUCCAGAAAGAAGAGCUACUGAAAUGGUUUCUAGCUCCCAAAUAACUCAAGCGCAAAUUCUAGAUGUUGACAAUACAUUGUACUUACCCAUUGCCAAUGAAUUGCUAUUUAAUACAUUCCAAGUUAAAGUGAUACAUGUGCAAUUAGGCUCCAAGUAUGUUACACCACACUGACAGUGACAGUUCAAGCAGGUAAGUCUCUACACCUUCCCGUCCACUUAUAUGGAAGAUAGCCCUGUUUGCCAGGCCCACUAAUGGAAAGCACAACUGUUCCCCAUGCCCUGACAUACAGGCUGGUGCUGGCCACCAACUUGUGCCCUGGUUCACAGCUUGAGGUGGGAGAAAGGCCGCACUGAAAAAGUAAAGUCCUCAUAAUCACAGUGCCCUCCGUCCACACUCCUGGCUGAGCACCUCUGUUGGGAUCAGCCCCCACUCUCACCAACCAGCAGCCCAUUUCUGGGGGCUGCCCGAGCAGAUAGUGCGUGCUCUGCUCCCAUCCCGACACGUUGAAAAAUGAGCAGGGGAGUCCAUUCCUGCACAACCUGUCCCAAAUCAAGCUUUAGAUAUAUCUUCCAGUUCUGCCAGCGUAUUGAUAAAAUCCCAUGCAGGGACAUUAUUCUUUUAAAAAAUAUUAAAAGAAAAUGCUGCAAGUGAUUUUUGUAAAAAAAAAAAUCCAUCAUAACAUCAUUAAAAAUUAACAAAAAGAAAGCAUUAGUGUUGUCUUACUAACUGGAGGGGAGGUCUUGCUGUUAAAUUGAGAAGGGCAGCAAUGGAAGGCAUUUUUAGAUCAGUGUUUCCAUUCUUUCCUCUUUUGCAUGGUUCAAAAGUCCUGCAUAAUUAAUACUGCAGUACUUAAUAAAUGCUUAUGAACCUACUACCUCCCUGCUCUUUCUGUUUAAUUAGGUGAUUGACUGCAGGCAUACUAUAAAUUAUAAUGACAAUUUAAUUACUUUUUUAAUGUGCACACUUACAAGAUUUAUAAACAGGAACAGAGCAGUACAGUAUGCUAAAAACAAGAAAUACCGUGAGCUGGAGUGCAGCACAAAGUGCUCCAGCCUGAAGCCUUUCUGGAGCCCAGGCAUCUGCAAGGCUGGGAGCUUUGCUAUCUGCAGUGUCUGGCACAAUUUUCCCUUUCUCUCCUGAACAUCCUGUUACGCUCCUCUCAGCUUUUUCUUUUGGCACCUGGGGAACUCUCUUGGUUUCACAGCAGGAACCUAAACCAGUUCCAAAGAGAAGUCAGCCAAGGACAUGGGCGUACCUUAAGUAAGGUGUCUGUAAAAAUGAAAGACCCCUUCCCAUGUUUUAAAGAAAUCAUAAAACUCCAUUCUCGUUUUAUCACAAUGCAGUCACUGUUAAAGCUUGCAAGAGGCUGAAACUUUCCACAAUAUCUCAGCUAGCACAGGCAAAUUGACAAAGAUCACAGAUUUCACAACGCCACAAGCAGACCCUGGUGAAGAGACAGCAAUGUGUGUGUGAAAAUAUUUUGUACUGCCAGGUGGGGUUUAGGCUCUUCUCCCCGGUAACAAUGAUAGGACUAGAGGGAAUGGCUUCAAGUUGGGCCAGGGGAGGUUCAUGUUGGAUAUUAGGAAAAAUUUCUUCUCAGAAGGAGCAGUGAGUCAUUGGCACAGGCUGCCCAGGGAGGUGCUGCAGUCACCAGCUCCAAAAGUUUUCAAAAAGCAUAGAGAUAUGGCACUGAGGGACAUGGUUAGUGGGCAUGGUGGUGAUGGUUGCUGGUUGGACUUCAUGAUCUUAGAGGUCUUUUCCAACCUUAAUGAUCCUAUGAUUCCAUGAUUCUCAGCAUGCUUACCAACAAUGCUGGCAUAUCUGUAACCAGUACUGCUUGAAGGGAGAAAAAAACAAGGAGACUGGGCCAUUCAGAGUGUGCGAAUUCCACGUUUUAAGCCUCACCUACAAGCAGUGCUGAACAGUCAAGAAGGAAGUAAGUUUAAGUACAUAACCAAGGUGCAGCGAUACAAUAUUGACUCCAGUUUUCCUUUUUGUUGUGGAAAAACCAUCCCUGAGGCCUGUCCCAGGCAGCUAGUCUGCACCCCCAUGGCUGACACCCCCACCCCCAGUCAGCAGAGGUGCACAUGGAGCAGCCCCGCAGAGCUGCAGCAGGGGAUUGCAAGGGGCUGCUUUGUCUGCACUUCCCGCUUUCAGAGCGAACAAUGGAUCACCUCUGGAGCCGGCACUGCAUCCAGCCUGCACGCAGCUGGUGAUUGAUGGAAGGUCAUGAGGGCAGCAGACUUUGGGUGCACAGCCCUGGAUUGCUUUAUCAAGGAUGGCAAAAGGCCAUGUGCUACAAUAACACAGCAAAUACUUCCUUUUGCUGCAGCACAGACAAAUUCCUUCCUCUCUGCAAGCUGAAUUCAAAGCUUUUGGUUCUCAUCUAGGAGCAUGUGCAAGUCCUGCCCUGGCAAAACUGUGCACGUGAAGAGUUGCAUUUUUAUUCCUGAGACCAUUUGGUUGUAAAUAUUCUCCCUUAAAUGGAGUCAACCGUGUCUGGGCUGAAAUCACCCGCAGUUGUAAAUGUGUAACCCUAGGGGUUCACAGACCCCGUGGGCAGUGAAAGAAGACAACACUCCCUCCUUCUCAGAAAUUGAAACUAUACAGUAAGAAACAAGAAAACCUGUAACACCGCAUAACUGACCAUAGUGUUUCUCAAUGAAAGUGUUUCCAGAAAGGAAAGCAUAGUGCUUUGGUAGAACUUAAAAGUUCCACCACAAUAUAAAUGUUGUCCCUGGUUUAAAUGAAGCAUUAUGAAAGUAAUAGUUUUCUGAAAUACUAACAUUUAACAGCAGUUGUACUGCUGGAUUAAUUACAAUUUAAUGAGUUACAAGAGCUGGAAUAUUGGUACACCAGUAUGAUAUCCUUCUGCAAAGUAAAAUUGAGGCAAGAUUUAGAGUGUUCUGAAACAAGCUGUCUUACUGUGUAAGGCCUUCCAGGGUGUUGUACCAGCUUAGAGCACAGGUGAAAUAUUUCAGAAUGUGCUGCAGUUUUCAAUUUUCUGCCAGCCAGCUUUUGCUUCCUGUUCCCCUGUAGCUGAUUCUCUGUUUAUCCACCUCAUCUAACUGCUCUGAUGGUGACAACGUAACUUAAUGCCCCAACAAGGACAGAAAGCUGUAAUGUCAGACACUGUUUCUAGUGGGUCAGGAUUAGGCACUGAAGUCCAAAGUAGUCUUCAAACCAGAGGUCACAAUUUCAGUUAUCUUCCCUGCUGACCAGAGCUGCAACACAAGGAAAAUAGCUAGCUGCCCACCCACUGGCUGCAGAAGCCAAACCGAUGACAACCAAUAACGAAAUAAUUGACUAAUAACUAGAACAUCUAGCAUUAGAUCAUGACUUGUCAGUUUUGGAGACUGUGGGGAGCCAGUUCAAGCCUAGGGAGUGAAAUAAGCAACUCGUGUUUUUGAGCAGCAUGAGGCAGGCAGUCACACCGUGACAAUGGCCGCACCGCAGUGGUACAGGCAACGUGAUCCUUCCACGCAUCACUGCUGGGGCUCCACGGCAGAAGGAGCAGGUAGUUUCCCUCCCAUAGGUCUCAAGGUAUGUUACAGUACAUCAGUGGAUUUGCAUAAUUCUAGUCAAAUGAGGUCUUAAAAAUUUCAUCAUCGAUUUUGAACUUGAAUGCUCUGGAACUGAGCAAAACAAAUGGUGCUUAUGUUUGCAAAAUGGGAGGUCUGAGAGUGGAAGCAUCUCAGUUUUCUUACAGCCCUAUUAAGCAGAUAACAAGUAGGCCAAACAUCUCAAUUUUAACAAAGUGCACAGAUGUAAAGAUUUAAAACAUAACAUUAUGUAAUAUUAAUUAACAACCAUAAUGUGUACUGAAAAGUUUAUGAAGUAGGGAAAGCUUUUGCAUAGCUCACGUUACCCAGAAGCCAAAUCUGCACACAGGCAACUUGUCCUCCGAGUAUUUUCAUUCCUUCUUCAGAGAAGAGUGUGAAGCUAAUAUUAGCAUCAAACUGUGUCAUAUUUUUAAUACUUUUUCCAUAUGAACUGAGAGAUACCUGAGGAGCCACCAUGAUGUCACAGAAAAACACGUUCAACAUGGCUUUUCUGCUACUCCCACUUUCAGGUUGUGCCCCAGCACUCUGCUCCCCUUUGCUCAGAGAUGGGAGCCAUAUGGGCCUAGAGCUAAAUAACUGUAUGUACUUGUGAAUAGACACCAAACUGAUAAAUGCUAGCACACAUAAAUUUGUUUUUUAACAAUAUAUAUUCUGGUGCUUCAGAGUGAUUUAUUCAAAAAAGGUUUUCAAAGGCAAAGAGUGGUUUAAAGAGAAAAAAGCCAAAAUCUUUAAGGAGAUAAAUUCCAGUCCUGACUUUUAACUCCUUGCCACCGCAGACCCAGGAUUCCAAUUGAGUGCAACAGAAGGCAGAAGCCUCCUCACUAGGUUUCUCUCACAAAGCCGAAAGGAAAACUGCUGUGAAUAACUGAGGAGCCCAAGAGAGUUUUUCUGGGCUGCUGCCUGAACAAAACCCCUUGUGAGUGGGGCCCCUUGAGACAGGCUGGGCAACAGCAUGCAGAAACACAGAGGCUCUGCAUCUGAGACGCGAUGGCAUGGGGCAGGUGGGGCUGAUGGUUUUGCACGCAGCACAUCAUAAAGACAAAGGCUACCAAAAGUACAGCAACACAUCGCUUUUGCUGCUUGGGGAUGCACCUACAAACACUCAGUUUCACUUCUCACAGUUAUUCAAAUCAUCCACUCCUUGUGGGUCUGCAAAUCUAAGUUGCAAGUCACACAGAAGGGAUUUAUUAAGAGCCUGCUGGUGCAUCUGACCACGACAAAAGGAUAAAAUAAAAAUAAAAAAAGAACAAAAUGCACUGAGCAUUUCUGGACCCCAGACUGUCUGACCUGGAUCCAGUGAACACAUCUGAUUUCCACUGACUGUUGCCUCCCAAAAAUGUGACCUAAAUGUGCUGCACACCAGGGGUGGGGGACAGGGCUGCACAAGUAUCAGUGAGAGUCACUUAUGCUAUUAGUCGGAAAUCGAAAAUUGAAAGAACCACUUUGAAUGAUAACAGAACGCAAGAGCUCAUCACUUCCUCCACCAGGAGGGCACAUGAAGACCUUAUUCCUAAGUACUGAUCAGCCAGAACAUGUUUUGAGACAGAAGAUUCCUGGACUCCAUUCACAGCUCUUAAAUAGCUCUGUGUCUGGACCUGGGCAAGUGGUUUCAAUCUUCUGUGCUUUUGCAAAAUAGUAAUAAGAAUGCAUACCCACCUCACAGAAUAGAGGCUUCAUCAAUGUUUCUAGCUCACUCUCAGCUUCUCAAGUAAAUAGUCCUGCAAAAGUACAGAGUAUCAUUAUUUAGAUUUCAUUUCCUUCAAAAAUUUGAAUUCUUUCUAUUUCUCUCUCUUUUUUUUUUUUUUUUUUUCUUUUAAACCAGAUAGAAUCAAUUGUGAAUGCAAAAUCAGCAUGCCUGCCUGGAGGCCAGUCCCAGGCUCCUGCCUCACGCAUACAUGUACAUAUAUAUCACCGCAUAUUCCACAAUACAUACCGCUGGUCUAUGAAUAGGUCGCUAGGACACAAGCCAAGCAAUGCACAUCUAAAUCUGAAUGCUGAACAAACAAAAACGUGGGUAUUUUUAAGUUCAAAACUCCUUCCUAAGAGCCUCACAUGCUCCCAGCCCCACGGCCCUGGUGCGACAUGUCAGAGGCAGCUUUCUGAGGCGCGGUGGUGUCUUCUGAAUCACUGCCAUUACCCGAGAAAACCCCAGGAAGUGGUUUGAAUGAGAAGCUGGACCCGACUUGCGUAGGUAUCAGCUGAUGUCAGAGUACACACAGCACAAAGCCGUAACAAUAAGGACAUUGUGAAAUGAGGAAUAACCUUCUCUUAUCUCCUGGAGUUUGGGAAAUCAUUUCUAACCCAGUGACUACGGGGCUUAGGCAAAAGUCAAAUGGUUAAUUAUUCACCAUACACUUUGUAAUCAAUCUGCAUUUCAGGCCAGAUCCUUGUAUGCCCAUAAUAACAUGAAGAUCUCCACAGAGGGAAACAACAGCAUGAGCUUUUGGACCUCCUUCUGCAAAGCAAUUCGUUUUUCCAUAAACAGUUACUAUUAAGCAAGGACAAAGCAACAAACCAGACAGCCAUCUGUGUAAACCAAUUUAAAAGCAUGGUGAUCUCAUAAAAUUUUUUGACCUAACACUCUUCAUUUAACUUCUGUCACCCUAUUCUACCCCAGCAAAUUCUGCUUUUUAGCCGGCCCUUGGGCUUAGGUUGCGUUUCCACUUUAGGGAAAGCCACUCCUUGAAGGCAGGGUGACUUCAAACCUGUGAAAAGAGCAUGUCUGUGAAAAUACCUUGGCAUAUAUGGAAGUAGGACAACCUAACCAGCAGCCCACGCUCCAGAGGGUGUUACCACCAUGGACUGCACAACACUUGCCAGCUGGGCUUCCUAGAAGUAUGAGGUCAGGUGAGAGCAAAGAUUCUGGCCACUGGCUAUAGUGCAGUUCUUGCUUCUUCGUGCGCCUUCUUAUGAGCCAGAGAAAAGCCAGCAACAGCACUCAACACAACCAUUUUAGAAGAGGAGAUGAUCCUGGUAGCCUUAGAGCAACGUUCACAAACCCACACAUACCACAGCCAUCCUAUACACACUGAGCUGGCCACAGCGUCUAUGGUGUGCUCUAGCUCUUUAGGCUUGACUCUAAUGAAACACUGGGCAAAACCUACCAAAUGAAACAAGCAAAAUACGGGGGAGAUGGCUGCAAGCAAUUAGCAUUCAUGGCCACGUGACUGGAAAUACGCAAACUCAUUUACAAAGGCAUAUAGAAUACAAACAUUUCAGUAUUAAAGAAGGUAACUGGAAGCAAAUACGGAUAUUCUCUUACCAUUUCCAAGAACCUGAACAACACAACGGUCUAUUAACUUGAUUUAAGUGAUAGAAGGAAGCAUUCACUUCUCCGGUAUACAAGGAUGACUUUUCUAAUCCAUGUAGUGCAGACAUGGUUAAGAAUUACUUCCCACAGCACCAGGGCUAGUUAUAUUCACUCUUUCUCCUCAGUGUGCAGUUUCAAACACUUAUUACUUCACUGUUCCCCUUCCGCAAUCGGUGAUAUUUGUAUGCCUGAUAGCUGUGUUUGCUUUAAAGUAAUAGCUGUGAGGCGAGGUAAGCUGCCCUUCUGACCCACUGUGUAAUUGUACAAGUGUUUGUGCAGCAAUAACCCGUCAUAGCCAUAAAGCAGCAUUUCUCUAAUUGGCGCCUGCUGAAUGCACCAGCACCCUCUGCAAACACUGUGGCUUUUUAUUGGCAACCUCUCCAUCUGCCUCGCUCUCCUUAGCGUGGAAUCUCCCUUCCAUCAUUAGAGAAGAACAGUCAUGACAAUACUAUUUAUUUCAUAUUGAGUGUCAGCAAAAGCUGGUAAAGAUUAGCUUUAAAAGAUUGAGUAGUAUCAACAGCUGCCUUGGGAAUUCGUUAGGGAAAAGGGAACAGUUCUGACCUUUGAGUCCGUGUUUCAGCGCCUUUCUGAUAUGCGUCAGAACAAAAGUUCAAGUUGUGCCUCACUUUGCUUUGUCACACCUUGAUGCAUGUAAAGCAGAGGACAGGAAUUUGGGAGAAGCCAGGCUGAGGCUCAUCUCCUUACCUUCAGAGCUGCCGUACCAACUGAUGUUGGCACAGGUGAUGAUUUCUUGGCUUCCUUACUUCAUUCUUGUCUUUUCUCGGUUAUUGCUCUGAGCUCCUACCCAGCCAUUUCCAACAGCUCUGCUGUUUGUUGCCACAUUACAUAAAAUCUCAAAAAUGGCUUAGAAAACACUAAAAUAUCUGCACUGCCUUGGCAAGCAGCUAAACAUGGGAACAAAUGCUACUUAAACAACUGAGCGCCUGCGUUUUCUUACCAGCCCUGGAGAUUCUGUGCCUUGUCCAGCAAAGCUGGAAGCAGCACACAAUACUUUGUCACAUAUCUUGGACUUUCCAUUUCUACUAUACAGGCAUCUUGUUAUCAAUUUUUAUAGGGGGGGGAAAUGGGAAAGGAAAUUCCUGGAAAAGAUUACAAUUGUCAAACAAGCUUUUGAUACCAUUUAAACAGCUGAAGCAUUAAUUUUUUGGCGGCACUGUCAAAAACCUAUGAGGGCUUCCUGGCUGCAGUGGAAGAAACAGUACAUCUAGUUCAACUACAAGCUGUACUUUUAAAAACAUCCAUAUGAAAACAGACUCAUUAUUCACUUUUCUGUUGCAUGGUUUUGACCUGCAGUUUCAAUACUAUUUUUGUGAGACCAUGCAUUCUCAAGAAUCACAGCUUAAAACUAAUGCUUUAAUAAACUCUUGUUUAUAUUAUAGUCAGAGGAGAACAAAAUAAAGCUACGAAUGACAUUUUUAUAUGAAGUCAAGAAAAAGAUUCAUGUGUCUGAAUACUUUAGUUACAGUAUGGUAGGCAUGAUUAUUAUUUCCUGUAAAGCCAAAGUGUAACUUUAAAGAACUGGAAAAAGGCAACUCUGAGAGUAGAGCAUGGAUAUCACUGAGGCCUCUGAAGAGUAGAUACUGAGCAUACAUAGCAAUACAAUUUUAAUGCAAGUCUCCCAUAGAGUACUACGGGACUUUUACCACAGAACAAUGGCGAGAUAUGGCCUUGAAAAAUUUGUUUGGACUCAUCAAAAUAACACCAUGUUGUAUUUCUGCAAAUGUCUCCCUUUUUUUGGUGAAAGGAGAAAAAAAAAAUAACAAGAUGCUGGUUUGCAAUGAGACAGGCAAGAGAAUGGCAUUUUUAAAAGUGAUCGUGGAAUCACAGAAAUUAGAUGAUAAAGGAAAUGGCCAAAGUCUAUUAGAUCAUCUCAUACCCAAAUGAGAAAAAUUUAGGUGGUAUAUUCUACGAUAUUUCACCCGUGUCACUUCUGAACUCAUCAGCUCGGCUGGUUUCCAUCAGGAGAACGGGCCUGUAUCAUAACAGCUUUUUCCUGGUAUUUGAGCUAAUACUUCUUUUGUUCAUUUGCACCUUUUUAUUCCUUUACACCUCUUUGAGACUGCUAUACUCUUUUUGGUGGUCAUGCCUUUGAAAUUUUUAACACCAUAUCUAAUCUAAUAACGAUCAAGGUAGAAAAUGAUAAACUACCAGGAGUGACCAAUCUUCUGAUUCGUAGCCCUGCUCCCUCUAUAACGAGCAGCAAAUUUCUAGUGGAAAGAGAAUAGAACUCUUGGUCAAGAAUCAAGAGGGUGAAAAAAAACCUAUCAUCAUAACUGAAAGAAAAGCUACAUUUCAUCAGUGCAUGACCUGAGCUUUAUGGGGAAUGGAGAUCUGCUAGGAUCUUUACUCAACAUGAUGCUCCACAAUUUGGUUACACUAAACAAAACUGGUUACUUCUCCUUCUCCCUGCACACUGGUCAAAGGGGGCUUAAUGAGCUUUGUGUCUCCCAGUUGCCAUAACCCCAUUUCUUUCUUAUUCCCAAAUUACAGAUUUCUACCUUUCAGAUUUCUGACUGGCUUUUGUAUAUGGAAAUCGAAGUCCCUGGAGGAAGCAAGGGGUUUCAUGCUGUGGGCUGACAUUUGACCUCCCAAUGGAGGGACAGCAGAUGGCAGGACCUCACAGACUCAUUUCUGUCUCCUCUAUCCCUGAACAAACACAGUCACAAAGGAGCAUACAAGAGAAAAUCUCUUCAGAAAUGUGCAUUCACUUCACUGACUAGAAGUAUAAAUACGUACAGAAAAAGAAAGGCUUCGCGGAGUCCAUCCACUAUAGAAUGAGUUUGUAGAAACAAAGUGACUAUCUGAAAAGGGAUUUCAUUUUUUUAGUCAAAAUUUGCAAUUGGCAAUUGCAAUUGGGUAGCAACUGGCUUGAGAAGAAGAAAGGCCAAAUAAGUUUCUGGAAAACUCAAUGCUAAAAGCCAGUCAGCCAAAAGACAAAGUCAAGAUACAAAACUACAGACAUUGGACAAACUCCUCAGCAAUCCUGAAUUAGGGCCUUGUACUGCACUCCCGUUAUUAGUGAUUUGCAGUACCAAGUAAAUCCCUCAUAAGGAUAUUUUUUAAGUACCCCUUCACUGUCCUGACUUUAUCAAGGCUCCAGAGGAUGUCAGUGUGGAGUAUUUCUUUCUCACCUCUUUUACCUCUUGUUUCAAAGUCAGCCACAAUUCCCUGUGAAGGGUCAGGUCAGGGUCUGCCUGGAGAAGAUUUCAACCUGGACGGGAAGGGAACAGAAUCCCUUUACCCGGAGUAACUCUGUCCCUAACCCGCUGCCACUUCGGGAUUCGUGUGCAUCUUUGCAUCUGUGGAGCAGCGUCUGGCUCCAGCUGGGCUGAGUCACCAGCAGCACACAGCUUAUGGAGCAAUGCAAGGUCCUGCAUGAAAAAUGCUCACUUCGUGGCACUUGAGAGAAAUACUUCCACAAGCAAAAUUCCUACAGGAAUUACAGUGCUGUGCAUAUAUAGGAAACAAAACAGAAGACAAAGAAAAGACAUCACCAUGAUUUAUAGGAGUUGCUGUCGGGCUACCAAGAUAAAGAAGGUGCCUUUCCCCUCUGUCACAUACAGACAUCACUUGCAGCAUCUUCAUUCUUUCUCCGACACAUUCAAAUAAAUGUGUGCAUUCUUUCCAAACUAAUUAUAUUCCAAGCAACAUUUAGAAGUCAGUCAAGUUCCUGACAGCAUGGUCUUGGAUCUCAGACUGUUUUAGGAAAGUCGCUGGCUGCUUAUAGGAAGAAGGACAGAUGGACAGAGGUUUCAGUACCAGGGCCCUCACACGCAGAGCAUGCAGGAAGCACUUCAGCAUUAUCUAAGCCCAUUAAUUUCCAGUAUUGUACAGACUUACCACUAAAAAGAAUAUAUACGUGUAUAUAUGUGUGUGUUUAUAUAUAUACGCAUAUGGAAGGCUAUUCAUUGACCUUAUCAAGAUUAAAUGGAAAAAAAUGAAAUACCAAUAAUCGCUUUUUUCACUUUUCCAACUUUUCUUUAUGCAUUAUUUUCCGUGUAAUCUUUCACUGCAUCGCUUUUCUUUCUCUUGGCUCUUCAUUACUCCACUCACUACAAACAUCACCAGUGUUUAGGAGUGACUCCUUCCUUUCCCCUGCAAUCAAAUUAACAUCAAAAUGAAGCAAUGGCUAAUCCAUGUUUCCUCCACAACACCUGAAAAAUCAUGAAACAAAACCCAAAAUAAACUGAAGAAACUAUCAUCUAAGCUUCUCCCCACACAAGUUGACUAAAACUGGAGUUGCUUUGCAUCUAAGAACUGGUUCAGUUGUUUUAAUGGGGUUUAUGGAAAUAGAAAGACCAUCUUGCGAGAUCAAGUAUUUACGACUAUAAGACGAUUUUCAACACAAUCCAAAGACACUAUGUUCCCUGAAGCAGUGAAAUCACUGCUUUGCCUCAUAUUUCAGAAUACUUUGACUGUGUUCAGUCAUCUUGCUGUAGCAACUCUUCUCCAAGGGCAACGUAUUUGGUAAGACCCAAGCAGCGCUGCCUGCUCCAUGCAGUCACUCUUCAUGAAAGUCCUCCUGUCAGAAGGGAGGGUCAUGAGCAAGGCCAGCUUUGCAUUAGUUUUGUGGCUCUUUCUACUCAGGCUACCUCUUUACUGCCAGGAGAAUUUAGGCACUAAGAGUCCAAACAAUACAAAAUGACAAUAAUACUCAUUGGUUGUUGGUAUGACCCUCACCAUGUAUCAGACUUCUUAGCAGUGGAAAAGAGCAUGCAGUCACAGAUGUACUAGGCAGGAGAGAAGUGAGCUUUAUUUCAUCUUUUACUUUGACUGUCGCAUUCAGAAACACUCAUGGUAAAGCCUCUGAUAUCCCUGCACCUGGCCCAGUUUCCAUUUUAGCCCCCAAAAUAUGUCAAUACUUGGAAAGGUGGCCUCCAAACCAGCAAAGGCUCUCCCAGGUUAGUGCUGUGCAAGCGGAGCUGCGUGCCUGCAUUGAGUCACCUAAGUCAACAGGGCGUGGGUGCACAGCCUAGGCACCCGCCUGGCAUGAGCUCACCUGAGGGCCAUUAUUCUCAGACACCGUGUGUACCCAAUGAUGCACCAUCACAGCAUGUGGAGAGUCACUGCUGAACACUGCCAGACAACAAUCAGUGUAGACUUCACCCAGCAGCCCAGCACACAGCACCAGGAACAGGUGGGCAACUUGUGAAUGCUUCUUCCUAGCAAGCUACGACCUGAUCUGAACAAUUCCAGAUGACGGCGUCAUUGGUCUUUCUUGAAAUUUGGUGAUACCAAGAUUUUGCACGAGCACUGUAAGUGGAAGCUACCUAAAAAUAUUUUCACUAACUUAACACACAAUCCUCACAGAAAUGGGAGAAAUGUGGUCAGUAUUAGCCAAAAGAUGCUAAUGUGUUCCUGUCUAUAAUGAUUCCUAGAAAGCUGUGGCAAAGAAUAUCUAUAACAUCAGCUGGUUACAAAGCUUUACAUUUUCUAAGCAUGGUACUUGAGGAAGAAUCAAUGAAUUGCAAUGCAAAUGAGACAAGAUUCAUCAUGCUUGUUGUGCUUAACCUUUUACAGAUUUUGAAUUAUAUAACCAGUUUGUCAUGAAUCACAAAGUCUUACUGAAGUGACAGGAAAAAAAAUAGAGGCAAAUGAAAUGAUGGUUCAAUGAAAACCUUUACAUUCCUUCCUCUCCCUUGAUUUUCCAAGUCGCUUCAUACACGCCAUUUCUCUUCCUACAACUUCUCUGUUGAAUGCAAUUCUUAGCAAAUGCUCACCAGUCAGAGGAAAGAUAAGGAAACUCGAUUCAGACCCAGUGCCUAUGCUGUAGGAGAGGCAUCUGCCUGGAAGGAAUGAUCAGGUACGUAUAAGAUACGUCCCACAGAGCGAGGGCAUCCACAAUACUGAAGAACAUACAUUGAUUCUAAAGGCAGCUUUAUAGAAGUGCUGUGUCAACAGACGCACAGCCCUCGAUGAAGUGGCUCCUACAGGAAGCCUGGUUUCAUUCAUUAACUACAGUGGCUGGGGCAAUGUGUGGGGAGGAGAUGACACACAGACAAGUCAAAACGCAGUUCCCCUUUUCCCUCUGAAAGUUUUUAGGUCUCAACGCCUUGCACAACAGACGUGCACCUGGGUGAGAAACAAUAGCAGGCAGUAAAACACGUGAGAGCAGCGUGAGGCUCUGAAAGCACAGGCUAUGCAGAGGGCCAACUGCCAACAGGAAGACACGGUGAGGAGGAAUUCUGAUCCAGUCACUAUCCUCCCUCAGCCAAGCAAUGCCACGUGAUAAACAACACUGGGGGCUUUUGAAUCGUCCAUCACACUGAGAGCAUCCCUAUCUGUCAGUUUUAUUCUCUGGUUGCCAGGAGAAGGACUGGAGUGACUUCGGAGCUAAAGUUCACAAAGAGCUGAUGUUGUAUUUCCCAUCACAGCUGUAACGAAAGCACUAGGAAACUGCAGGAGAAAAAGAAGAAGAAAUUGCAAAGCGCCUCGCUUUGGGACUGGCUCAAGCCGCUGAAUUCAUCACAGGUAGCGCUCAGAGAUCUCACGCCUGUCUCGCAGCCUCAUUUCCCAUGUCACAUUUCAACAGAGAAGCAGAGAGAAAGGAGAAACGGAGGUAACUUCUGUCUGCAUUCUUCCUCUUCACAACGUGAAGCAUUUAUCAGCAGGAAACAAACCACGACCACGUGCUCGGCAGGUCACUGGGGCAGGUGCAACUUAACCUUAAACCCGCAUCGUCCGCCACACCUUGAGAUUUAAGGCGAGACAGCCCCGUGAUGAAGCCCCGGACCUGUUUGCGUUCAGCGCGCUGCCGUGCUGCAGCCCAGCUCCCAGCACUGCAGCCCAGCUUCACCGCGCUUCCCUCUGCGGGGCUGCGAGAUGCAGCAGAUUCACCCCCAGCACAGAUCGGCGUCGCCCCCCAGAGCAGCACUGCCCCCAGCCUGGAGCAGCAUCACCACCCAGCCCCGGAGUACCGCGGCAGCCCUGCUUCUCCCUCCCCGCCUCGGCCCCGAGCGGUGCCAGGGCAGUACCUGCAUCGCCCAGCACGGGCAGCCCGUACCUCCCGUCAUCGAAGGGAUUUAACAGCGUGGAGAUUCCCGUUGUCCAUUAUUUGAGGUCACAGAUAAAUGCCCAAGCGCGGCCGUGACUCCCAUCAAUCAUAAGUCACUUGCUGAUAGAGUGUAUGGUAGGAGACCUACUGAUGUAAGCUAGUCACCAGAGAAAAUACCCACUGAUGACGCAUAUCCAGGCACAAAAAUAGUUACAGGGCCCCCAAAGGGAUUAUUCAACAGCCUACAUUUAGAUAUUCUUACAAGAGACCCGCAGUCAAUUUGCUGCUAUUAGAUGGCUGGGGAACGCUGAAGUUUAAGUUUCCUCAGCAGACAUAACCACAAAUAGCUGGUUUAAAUAAGCUCCUGCAAUUACAAGCUGUUUUGUAAAUUUUAACACGGCAUUACGGGGAUUAAGCCUAAACAGAACCACUGGCUAUAAACUGUUGUAUAGCCUUCGUUUUUACUACCUACCAAUUUCUUCAGCAUAUUUACUGAUUCCUUCAGUAUAUUAACCCACAAUGACAACAACGAUUUAAAAUUAAGUUACAAAUGUUCCAAUUAGGUCCCUUGUGCUACCCCAGAGCGAUGUUUGCCUUCUGUAUGAGCACUCAUACGUGUUAAGUGGGGUGGGAUUUUUGGUGGCACUUCAAUGCCAUCUCCACCACCUCUGUAAAACACUUUGGACUCAGUUUGUACCCCUCUUUGGCACUUGCCUCUUGUCUACACAUGCACACACAAAAAAAGUUCUGAUUAAUUAAUCUUUCUUGCAUAAAUCAUCACGAUCACAUGCAGGUGAGAUAACGACAACAUGCAAAACCACACACCUGCUGUGAGCAGGGGCUGGAAAGAAGAUGCCCAGAGAUUCCUUUCUCACAUAAACUAUUGUACGGGUCUGCAUAACUGGAUUUUUUAGUAUCAAUCUCUAGGGAAAAGCACGGUCCUCCAAAUUAACUAACCAAGUGAUAACCCCACAGCAAUCCUGCCCCUUCAACAGUUUGAGGAUACUGCACGUGCCCUCACAGCAACCACACUCAGCAGGAUGUAACUGAGCUUACCCCAACCACUGAUGGCACAACACUUACUGCACUAUUCUGGCAGUAGUAAAAUCCGUAUCCUUAAUUGGCUCACUUGAACAUCUGAGUUCCUUUGCAGGAAUGCUUACGGUUCUUAGGAGUUUAAAAGUUAAUGGCUUUCUACUGCAUAUUUAAAUGCUAAAUAUAGGAAAGUAUUCUAUGACUUCAAUGACUACUUCAUUGACAUACUUCUGGAAAGCAUUACUUAGCCAAACAAACACUCCAGGAUCUUUAGCGUUUACCCUGCAAAGCAAAGGAAAGAAGAAAUGUCCCAGGCUACAAACUCCUCCCUCACUUUCUUCAUCUGUGAUAGCAUUAUUACCUAAAAACAACACCGGACAUUAUUUUUAGCCCAAGUGCUUUGCAAAGCCCUCACUUUUCCCUCACGCAUAUAUAUGUGUGCACGUGGCCUAAUUUAACAGCCCUGAGCAGACACAUCCAGUGGUGUCCCGGGGUGCCCCAGCCCAGCACUUCCCGCCUGUUCCAGCACACACCACAGGCACACCGUAACCUGCAGAGCCUCAGCGCAUGCAGCCCAGCAGCCUUCAAAUGGCUGGGAACCCAGUGCUUGGAAGUUCAGUCUCCUGCUGACAUGCAGAAGGGGUUAACCCCAGCAGGCACCCAUCUGGAAGAUCCCGGUGCUGUGUCUCCCAGACCCGGUCAAUACUCAUUAAGGGGAAGCAAUCCAUACCUCCAAGGGGCUGUCUGAACAAGAAAGAGUCAAAAGCCUUUGUUUCUCUAUAACAGGCAUAUUACUCCAUUUGGAAGAGGGUUUUUUUUAAUUUUUUUUUUUUGCAGGUUUACCUGUUUUGGGGCUUUUUUUGUUUGUUUGUUUUUGUUUUUUAAAAGAGCUGCCAGUUCUGUCGGUUCUGAUACAGUAGACGUAGUACAAGUUGUGCAAGUGCUUCUGACGCCAACAGGCUUUGCAAAAGCCCGUGUUCCUGAAACAAAAAGAAACCCAGCAAACCUUGUACAGAAUAGGUAUGAAUGGGAGACAUGACGGAUGGGCAGUGAUGGCGCUCUCUCUGAGGUGAAAGGGCAUAUGGAAAAAUAAGGGACUGGCAGGAACAGUGCUGGAUGUUCCCAGUAGUAACACUGUAGUGCUUUUCAAUGCAAGGAAAUAAAAAUGAAGAAAGGUACAGAACAGAAGGGGAAUCACAAUGGUAACUGUCAUUACCCAGCUAAAUAAGCAUAAAUGAAUGAAGAGGUGCCCUGGUGCAGCAGUGCUUCCUGAUGGUUUUCUGAAUUGAAGCAUCUGAAGUCCUAAGCAGAUGAAUUCUCCCUUGCUGACCAAAAGAAUUCCAUUAGGAAUACAUAUUAUUGUAAGGACAUUGUAAGGAUAGUGUAAGAAUAUUGUUUGCUGAAAACAUAGAGACAAUCAGCUUUCCAAGCAGACAAUGAAUGAGCACCCCAAAUUAGCAAAUUCUUUUUCGAAAGUUUCUACAACUUGUGAAGCAGACAGCAAUCUUGGAAUAGAUGUUUGGCUCACUGAGGACAGAACAGUGUGGAGCACUGGAGUCACUGUGCCAUACAACAUUAGACAAACCGGGACACUGAUGUAAGGAACAUAAAAAUAGUUAUGCUAUUCUCCUUUUGCCUGCACAUCAGUUUCUUAGGGCUUUUCUUCUCAUGCUAGCAGUGACAAAACAGGUAAUACUGAUUAUAAUUGAAAAGUGAAAUUAAAACACCAUAGAAAUAGAGUCUGCUGAGGCUACAUAAUUACUUAUUUUUUCCAUAUGAAAGUAUGAAUCGGACAUCUCCCUGUGCAUGCAAACACCUCUGAUGAAAUCUCAGGUAAGUAAUAAUUGGUGGAGGGAAGUGAGUUUAUUUCAGAUAUUAAGCAUAAAAGCCUACAUUUUUAUCUUUGGAAAUAAGUAUACUUAUAGUUAAAUGUCAACUUACUACUACCUGUGUAACAGUCUACCCUGGUUCCAGUUGGUAGCACUACUAGCGGUAAACAACAGUUCUUAUGUCAAAGUUUUAAAGCAAAUCAAACCAUCAGAGUAAGGAUGUUCUUCUUACACACCGGGAACCUGGAUUCUGGAACUAUCACCUGAUGGCAAAAAUCUCAUCUGCAGCUGCAACUAAGUGAUCUGAGGAUUUUUCAUUUCUCUGUAUUCACUCUGGGUCCAUUCCGUAUCUAGCUCGUUCACAGCUGAGUGACUGUAAGUUGAGGAUGGUGUACUUCCCUAUUCCAAGAUAUUAACUAAAAAUAUGUCAAUGAUCCAUUCUUCACCAAAAUUCUUAACAUGAAUUUUUAGAACACGGUAAUGAAAAAUAAUACAGCUGCAGUAGUCUCAUGAGUCUGCUCGCAUCAUAUGUAUGCCACUAGGCUUUAAGGGACCAAAUAAAGUCAGACAUGAAACAUGAUGGGUUUAUUCUAGUGCACAGUAACUAGAGCAAUACCUAGGAGUUACUGUAAAGCCUUAUAUUUCUUGGCAAAGAGUAACAAUGGCUGCAAACAAGCUGUUCUGAAAUCACACCCAUUUCAGAUUGAAGUUUCAUUUUGAAUUUGCACAAACAAGCUUUGAUUGCUCACAGGUGCUGACAAUAAAAACCCGAUUCCGAGUGUAUACCUACUGUAAUUCUGUCUGGCCAGGGAAGGCACAGACUGACUGGGGAUUACAGAAAGCGGGGAGCGGGGAAAGGCAGCAGAGGGAAGAUGCUCUCCUUCACCACCCUCAUCACAGCAUCCACCUACAGCAAUGUAACACAGGAUUCCAGCUCAAACAGCCUCACGCAUACAAAGACCUGCUGAGAACAGUUCCUAUAUUCAAUACAGUCAAACGUUACAAUUAAAACACAGGCAUAAACCAGCUUAAAACUUCCCAAAAUCCAAGUCCUGUUGCUCCAGCCUUGCCAAUGCCGCUGUCUGCCCUGAAGCAGAGAGAAGAGCCACUCACUCGAGGACAAGGCUGCUCCAGAUGCUGCUGCUGACAGCUUCUGCUCGGCUGGAAUAGUGAAAUUAAAAUAUUGCAGGAAGGGCAGGGGGAGGCAGGGAACAUCCUGACACUGCAUGCACAGGAUGCCACCUCACCGGGCUGAAGGGGAAUGGGCCCAGUUGGCAGUCAGUGAAUGCAGUGCAGCACUGACUGAGCCCAGCCUGAGCUGUGCCUGGUACAUCAAAACUGCCCAUUUCUCAUGUUUUUCAAAACAUUUUGUCCUUCUUCUUUUCUUCAUUUUGUCCUUCGCUACAGACCAUGAAAUUUAAAAGCAUGAAAGCUUUUCUCUGCAAGACUUUAUUUCUUAUUAAUCAGUAAUUGGGAAAGAAGAUGAGGAUCAGACCCAGAAUGCAUUCUUCCAAAAAAUCAAAUGUAUUGAUAAAAGCAUAACCACAGGAUUUCAUUGCUUUGCUUUCUCUUCUUUCCUGAACCAACACACAAUCUAAAAUCUUGUAGAGACGCUCCAAAUAUCUCGUGUCAAACAAUAGCUUUUAUCUCUUAAGUUACGCUCAAAUUCCUUUCUUCCUGAGGCUCCCUUGAAUCACCAGCACUCACUGUUACCUUUGAAACACGUGGAACUAAGGAGCAGCAUUGCCAUGCCUAUUUAGCCUAAAAAGAGGAAGAUUUCUCUCUUCGGAGUGAAAUCAUCUGGACUGCUCAUGUGUACACACACAUAAAUUUGACUCUUCUCUUGCGGACCUACCCUUUUGUUAGGAAAAGUUCAAAAGUUCAGUCAGCAGCAACCUGAUUUCUUAACUUGCUGCUCAAGCCUUUCAACUACUUCUUCAAGAAAUUAGAGAACUACAAAGCAUGGUAGUACCCAAAGCACCUUCAAUACUAUUAGCCACUGUUAAUAAGCUUAAACAAAAAUGCCAACAUACAGUUAUUCAUUACUUUAUUUAUUUAUAGUAUGCACAAGAAGCCUAUCUUUGUGCAGCUUCUUGUACAGAAUCAUCUACCCUCCCUUUUUAAUUCAGGGAAAAGUCAUAUUCAUUCUCUCUUCUUGUUGACUCAAAUCUAUUCUCCAAAGACAGAAUUAGGACUGUGAUCAUCCCCCACUUUGAUUUCCACCAUAGAUGCAUCAGCUUCACCAGCCAAACUCAGGUUACUUCCUUCUCUAGUGAUUUACUCUUAUCAGUACACACAGAACCAGUUUUUAAUGUUUAACAUUUACUGCAGCAUACUGCUAUUUAGGCAUCUUCAUAACCACAGAAAAAAAAAAAAUAUGUAUGUGAGGAAAAUUCCCACAUUGUGCUUAGAUAUUGAUCCACUGUAAGAUCCCACAAGCAAUGUUAGGGAGUGACUUUAGCGCCUGACAGUAUUAUAAACAUCAGCAAAUUUCCAUGGGCAAUCACAAGUAUCUCAAUUACCUGAGUACUGUCUCAGCUAUCAAGAGGACAGCCUGACCUAUCUCACAGCCAAUGACUUCCCAAGCGCUAACUAUCUUAAAAAACCUAUGCAGAGAAAGCCGCCUUCGGGCUUCAGCUGCUGUUCCUCAGGCUUCCAGAGAAUGUAGAUUUUCUUGCCAAGCUUGGCAGCCAGUAUGUGACACUCCUGAUGUAAAAACACGACAAUACUUAAAGAAAAGGCCAACAACCUUUGUGGGGCUGCCUCACUGAAAAAUAAUAAAGGAAACACAUUCCUCUCUGCAUACAAUUUACCUUAAGGUGCAAGUGCUCCCCAGUAUUCCACAGCUCUCAAAACUCACAGCUCUCAAACCUUUUGCCCAGCUGACCCAGGAAAGCAGAAGAGCAAUGAUGGUGGUUCCAGGAAGGAAGGGGGGGUCGGCACAUGUGCCAGCCACGUUUUGUGCAUGAGGCCAUGGCGUGCCCUGGAACCUGCCCUGCCAUGGAGAGAAGAAAGAAGAGGGAAGAGCACACAGACAGAAAGAGUUUCGGCCUCCUAGUACAGUCAGCCCCCUGAACUUCAUCCCUCCUCUUGUUCCCCAGUUUCCAAAAAUAAUCUAAACAAAGGCAAGAACUGCAAAGGCAGGGAGCCUUAAAAGAGCUGCAGUUAGAAAAUAAAAAGAGAUGGCAGGGGAACUGUAUAAAAAGACACGUUCUUUUUGGAAAAGAACAGUGACAUCUUUCAGUUUGGUGGCACAUCAGCAUGGAUGUAGGUCGGUACCAGGAUGUCGGACCUAGGGCUGGUUCAGGAGGUAAAGCAGGGGUGCAUGGGUGGGAACAGGGCUCUGCAGCCCCCUUGAGGUCUGUGCUGGCGUGAUGCUGCAUUGGCCCCAGCCAAUGGCUUCUGUCAAUUUGAAUGCCUACUAUCAGAAGAUGCUUGACAUUUUCCCAUAAAAGUAAAAGCACCUUAAUGUGAAAAACAUCUAAUGACUAAGAAGAGUCAGCAGUGAACGUUUGCACCCAAAGAACUCAGUUCCUCCCACAUUACAGCAACCUCCGGGAAAACUGAUUGCAAACAAAUCAACAAACUAGUGUGUCUAUCAAAAAUACUUGUUUCAAUGCUGGAAAAGACUCACAAAGCCUGCAACGAACACCAAGGGUUAAAUCUGAUUCCUAACUGUUGGACUAAUGGCCAAGGUGAGGGAAAAGGAAAGAGUUCCUUCUGUCACACAGCAUCCCUGCAAAGGGUGGCUUUUGUCUAACAGCUGAGAAGUAAACUCAGCUGCUGACUGGUUGAGAGAUUUUGUUUUUCAAGAACAUCAACGAUCAUACUUAAACCUUGAACUGGCUUCAAUUUCAGCUGACUCAUCAUUGUGUGACAGCACCCAAAGUCCACAUUCUAUUUUCUGAUCCUGUUUUUCAGCACCGAUCAAAAUAAGCAAGUAUUAGCACGCAAGUUAUAACAGAAAAUACCAUUAAGGUCCCCAGGAAAGCUCAGAUCUCCAUUUGUUUCCCAUAAAUACAUCCAUCUUUACCAUAAGUAUUAGUGCACGCCGCAGAAUAUUUCAAGCGCCACUGUCCAGUGACUGCCAUUUCCUCUCAUGGCAGAAGCAGCCUAUGAUUAGGAAACAGAAAGCAGAAAUGGCAGAAAUUAUUUGGAGCUUUGGGUAGGGUUUAAAUCUCCUAAUGUUUCAUCUUUUUCUUCUCUUUCAUGCUUAAGUAAUGAUUUUCAAAUGGCAUAGCUAGUGGUGAUGAUGACUUAUUCCACAGCAAUCUUCUGCAGCCUUCUACCACGAUGGAAGCCACCACAAGCUGAGAAAACCUCCCCUGGCAGAUGAUGGCACUGAGCAGGCCAGGCCGAGCCUCCUUAAGAGAAGCUUCAAAGCAGCUGAUGGAGAGGCAUUUUUGAGCAGAGUGGGAAGGAGGCAGCUUCACACAGCCUUAGCUGCUUUUCCCAGAGGAGCAAAGAUUGAGAAGGAAAAACACCACAAGCCUCUCAUCUUCUUCAGCUUGCCACAAAAGAGAGAUGUGUUUUUCAGUAGGAUCUGGUGAGUCUGACACUGAACUUAGCUCAAGUGACAUGAAAAGUUAAUGGUUAGGAACAAAGUAGGUGGAGAGGAGGAGGAGGAAAGAAGGCAUUUGUUAUUUGAAGUAGACUUCAUUCAAAAGCCACUUUUCACAGCCAGAAGUAAAAUUUCCAUUCAGCUGUUUAUUUCUGGUAGCCUAGAUAGCUUGCACAAGAGGGAUAUAGACAGAGACCUUAUACCUGCCUGCCUAACAGCAGCACAGGUAAACGAGAAGACAACCAGACACAUCUUUCUGGCCACCAGCCUUUGAAGGCAAGAUAGGCAGUUUUUCUCCUUGGUGGCAGGUGCUCCACUACCCUGCUCUCCAAGGAGGGAGAUGGCAGCAGUCCAGGCCCUGCAGAGAGAGACAGAAAGAAGCAAACAUUGCAGAUGGAGUGAUACGCUUCCAGCUCCAGCCAUGGGACCUGCAGCAGUCUCCCCACAUGGCCCUGCUGCUCCCUACCAGCCCAAAGCUUCCUCAUGAAGAAUGGCACAGCCCUUUCCUGCUACAGACUUACCAGUCGCUACUUAAAAUUGGCUGGGCCAACACAUCAAAUCAAUCCAUACACGUUAUACAUAUUUUCUGUUUGUAUCAGUUUGAAUCCUCCUCCUUUGCAACUCUGAUAUCCUCUCCCACUUCACAUUCUGUAAUUUUCUUGUUCCUUUUUGUCUGCGUUUCAUCUGAAAAUGACUUUUUUCUCAAGCACACCAAAGCAUUCUCUCCUUCCUGCCCUGUGUUCUUCCCAGCCCCCUGUUGUUCUCCGCUGGCCCUUUCGCCUUUGCUGUUUCCUCACUCAUCUCUCUUCCUGCCCUUGAUUUCUCUCCUCCCUUUUUUCUUUCUUUGAAGUUUCUCAGUGCUUUCUCUCCAUCCUUCCUGCCACACUGACUGAGGUGCUCCCCAAAGCAUCUGGCCUACCCAGAGGCUGCACUGGGUUGGACACUGACGCACAGAUGCCCAUGAAUGAACAAUGCUCUUCAUUUGAGGCCCCAUGUCAUUUGACAAGCAUGCAUUAAUUGUACAGCCACAUAGUCAGUGAGCUCCACCUGUGUGGGUUUUUUUUAAGCAAGAACUACAAGGACAAGCAACAUCAGCACAUGGCCGGGGCUCCCAGUGCUGAGCUCUCCUAGAAGAUGCUGUGUACAUGCAACACCUCCUUGCUUUGUGGUUCUGCUGCCCAAGGGUGGAAAUCGGCCCUCUGCAGAGUGCCAGUGCAGUGUCACUUAAUCAUUUCAUUCCUCCUUAUGUCCUCAGAAAGGAUUUACUUGGGUUGUGCUGCACUCCUGAAGGCAAAACCUCCCCCUUCAGUGAAUGACAGCCUUAUUUUUAAUAAAAAAAAUUCCUGUUGUGAGCAAAUGAAAAAAAAAAGAAAGAAAGAGAUACAGAUAGAGAUAACAGAGAGAUGAAUUUAUUCCUCCUGGCACAGCAACAGGAAACAGCCAACCAGCCUCCAAAUGCAGCGCUGUGCUCUCUCUGCAGUCACACAGAGAAAUCUCGACGAAAUCUACAGGCCAGACCCACCGAUAACUCUGGCUGCUUUGCCUGUUUCAGCAAUGCAAAACAGCUGUAAAACCAGUUCAACUUGCCCAUUUCUGUCAGUCUUCCUGUGCCAGCUUAGCCCUGCUGCUCGCCUGGGUUCUUCCCUGGCCCCUCACCCACUUGCUCUAGAGGGGGACUCAGGCUCUGUCCAGGUGCAUUACUGGGGACACAUUGCAAACCCAAGCAACUGGCAGAAACAAAAUACUCUGUUUCCUUGCACUUGUAUAUUUCUUUGGAUGCCAGGAAACAGAGCUCAGUCGUAUUUCCUGCUCCUCAGACUGGAGAAACUGGAUGUCGAUGUAAAGAAAGGCAGAAAGAGGGCUGAUCAAAAAGAAUAAGGAAAACAAUGGUAAAAAAAACCCCAAAUACUGCUUCACUCUGGUCUAUAAAGCAGUACAUCUUGGGGAAGAAAUAAUCCCCCCUGCUACCAAGUCCUCCUCUCCAGAGAUACACAACAGUACCAAAAAUCAACAGCAUUUUCUUGCAACUUUCAAGUGCUGCUGCACUGAACAGUCUUAUGGAAAAAAUACCACCAGUUAACAAUCGCUUCAUUUGCUUUUUGUCUGAGAAAAAAACACACAUAGAAAGGACUGGAGACAAUACGGGGGGGGUGGAUGAUUUUCUAUAAACAAAGCCUUCAAUAAGUAAAUGGGAGAUAUUCCGAAUGUUUUAUUCUUACCAUCUCAGUAACAGCCCCUAACUCUGAAUGCAUUAAUACGUACACCUUAAGCACCAUGGGGCUCCUCGUGUUGCCAUGGAACUGAAAUCUUUGCAGUUUAGAUGGUGAUGUACGCUAGGAAGCGUACUGUUCUUACACUUCCUAUAACAGAAGCAAAAAUCACUGCAUAGCAUUAACUCCCUUAGCAUUUAAGGCAUUCAGUGUCUUUCUCAUCUGCUCGUCUUCACACAGAGUUUGCUUUUUCUAUCUUGCCACAUGCAAAUGAAACACAUUUGAGAUAGCUAUUCUUGUCUUUAUGAAGUCAAUAGCUCACACGCUGAGCACAUUGCAGAAGGUCCACAAGGCGAUGGACUUUCCCCUUUUAAUAAGAGGCUGAUUGCAGGCAAGCAGGAGCUGAGACGAGAGCUGGAGAAAGUGAAAUACAUGUGGAUAGAACACUGUGCUCUACAUCAAGGUAGCAUUUUAGUAGAUUUUGGAAACCUAGUUAACGUAUGUAUUGCUAGCACUCUUGACACUCAUUCUGAAUGUUCUCUUGCCCCGUGACUGCUUGUCCAGACAACCAAAUUACAGCACAAAGCUCCUGCAGCAUGCGCCAGCUCUUCCUACACCUUUGUUUCCUAGUCGAGGUUGGUGGGCUUCCAGGGGUAAGCAAAGUGUUGGGCACUUCUUUACGGGAAAAAUCAGUCAGUACAACUCUGUGCUAUCUAAGGAUUCAGCCUACCACAAUUAUCUUCAGCAGAUCUGAGGGUUUUGCCAAAGCUUCUGAAAAUGGCUGUACGCACAUUGCAAAUACAUCAAUUUUCAAGUAUGAAGCAAAAACAGGCUAGGCAAAUAUCCAAGUUUCUUUUAAAAGGUUACCACAAUAAAUAAAUAAAUAGCAAUUUGUGUAUAUAAACAUUGGAUCAGUACCUGUAGAAACAGCUGGAAGCCAGUCCGUGAGCUGAAGCCAGCCUGAGGCUUUUACCUCCAAAGCCAAAUAUUUGCAUAGCAUUAAGCUUAAAAUUAAGGCAUUUGCAGAAGAAACUUGCUGACUCGCACAUAGGGAAGAAAAAGAGGGAACUUAGCUUCCCUACACAUAGGGACAGAUUCUUUGGAUGCCUUCCCCAUCACAUGAAUUCCUGGACAGCACAAGGAAGGACAGACUACCAGCCCGGGAAUUCCCCCUUCGCUUUCCGGAGGAUUUGUGCGCGCCUUGGACAGGAAGGCAGAAACCCAGGUAGCUGCUUUAUGAAGAAGGCCUUUGUUUCUCAUUCCUCAUCCCUCGACCACCUGGUAAGGCUCCUUCCCAGCGAAGAAGGGCCCCAUUCACCAUACCUCCGCCCGGCAGUCCCCACAUCCCGGUGCCAUAAGCCACCUCUUUCUUGUCCACAGCUCCUGGGGCUGAGCUGGCCGGCCUGCAGCGAGUGCUUCCUGCUGCUUGCUACCCCCGGGGACGUGGGGCAGUGCCUAAUCAUAAGGAGGCUUUCUGAGGCAGGUUUAGCCCCCGUGCCAGCACAAGGCACAAAAGCACUGUUGUGUUGUCUGUAGUGCUCUCGCAAACUGCAGGGAGAGGUUUCUCCGGCACCCUCGGGUCCCCUCCACUCCUCUCCACAGAUGGAAGGAACAUGCUGAGGAGUACUGCCAAAGUGCAGCUCCCUCCUUCCCUUUGCUGGCAGUGAGUUUCUGCCCAACCUACUGCUGCUGCCUUCACCUCUGGUUUAAGUGGGGCUCUCACCACCGGUUUCCUUGUAACAGGAAAACGUAUAUUGUGCAAUGAUGAAAGGCCGGUGCAAUGUCAAGAGCAUUAAAAAGACUCUGGGGACUGAUUAGGGUCAAAAGGGAAAGGAUUUAUGAUGUUUAAUAAAGUUAAAUCUCUCAGAGUUCUGCUUAUCCUUUCCAAUUUCAGGUAACCAGAUCUUAUAAGAAAAGUUAUUAAAAUGUUGGAAGUUAUUACUGUCCCCUUUGAAAGAAUUCCCUGAUAGGGAAACCUGUGCUCUGCCCACAGGCACCUGGACAGGAAUGAGCCCAGCUCACCCAUGCAGUUGAGCUGACACUGAGGAGGAGACAGACUGGGAGUUUUGUCCCACCAGCACCAUAUCACCACGUUGUGAGCCACCAGCCAAGAGCGCAGCUCUUGCCCAGCACUCCCAGUUUGGCUCCCCACACACCUUCCUCUGGAUGAUGCAAUGGAGAGCACUCCACAUUACUACUGAGACUUGUUUUAGAACACUUUAUAACCUAAUAUGCCCCAAAUCAACAUGAUUUUACAAGAUGCUAAUGAUUUUCCACACUGAGAUAAUGACACAGAGAGAGCAAAGGGAAGAGGAGGGGCAGAUUAUUUAAAAUACUAGAAAGUGUGUAUCAAUAUCUAAAUUACAUACACUUCACUGCAUCGUAUGUUUUCAUUUUCUUACCACUUAAUCAUCAUAAAUGUGCUACAUAUGUCCUUUCCAUUUUCUCACUCUUUUACUACAUCACAUCCAAUUUAAUUUCCUGUGAAGGUCUGUAAUCUUUUACAAUGUACCUGUCUUGGAAGGUCUCUGCAAUAAGCAGAGUCCAGUCCCUCAGAAGGCCUAUCUUUUACGGGCUGUGCUCCUGAAGAUUAGUUUCCUGUUGCAACGCUGUAUGAGAAUUAGCCAAAGAUGAAAACCAAAACACACAAAAGGAAAAACAAAACAAAAAAAACCCUUCAUUCUGAUUCCUACAUUCAACAAAUGAAAUUUCAUUUUGAUUUGGGUAGAGGUAAUUACCUCAUAUAAUAAGUUCUCUUGAGGUGCGAGACAUAGCACACCUUGUUCUCAGCUCAUCAGAAGCAGAGCAGAGAGGUGUCUGCUUCCUCUCCGUCCCCAGCAAACACAUAGAUCUGCAAACAGUCACCACUUUAGCAACCACACCUCCCCAUCAGCCUUCCCCUCAGAGGGCCCUUCUUCCAGUGAUAUGCCACCUUCCACCUAAAAAAAUCCUGAAAAUAUCAACCAAAACACAACCAUUCUACUUUGGAAAAGGUACCUUUGGAAAAGGUGGCAAAAGGAAGCUAGUCUAGUUGGCCUACCAGCUCCUCUCCAGACCUCUGCCCAUACAGAAUGCAAAACUCUAUUUCUUCAAACCAGUUUUACUUUACAAACAUGCCCACAAACACCAAAAUGACUUAUUUACAAAAUAUAUAUAUAUCCACUGGCAAUUUUGAGUGCUAAAAAAUGAAUCAACUCAGAAGAAACAAGAGCAACAGAAAUCAUUAUUCCUGUGCUCAUCUUAAAAAGGUUCUUAGAUAUGGCUGAUACAGGAGAUGUCAGAACAAAUGUGUAGAAAAAAAUCUGUAAACUAUGGUGUUAAUUGUACUUGGCAUGCAUGGGUGGCCACACAGACACACUAGCAGUCCUUUCAGUGUAAGCAGGGUCAAUGCUCUCCCACCUAAUCUCCAGGAUGUUCCCUUCAAGCAGAACCAGAGUGAGCCAGAUCUGGUCACUUCUUCAUUAAUCAGAACAUUCAGAAAUUAUCUGAGUUGUGAAUGGCUCUCCCAAAAUACAUCAAAUUGUUUAAUGAAGCAUGAAUUUCCUCUCCCUACUCCCUCUAAGACUUCUGUUGUACUUUCUGUCUCUUACAUCACUGACAUUAACAGUAAAUCAGCCACACAUCUGACAAACACCCCCCAAAUUAUAUGUAAAAAUGCAGCACACAGAAUCCAGAUAAACGCUUUUGUGGCAAACAGUCAUCUCUCCUCACCCAUUUACAACUCUUGAAUCUGCACACGGACUUCCACUGAGCCCUUUCCUAUGUUAUUUCAACAAUCCUUUCCUUGUAAUUUUGUUCUAUGCUUAUAUCUUUAACACUCGAUCUCAAAAAAGUGGCUAUCAGUAAAAAAAAAAUUUCCCACAGGGAACAUUACUUAAAAGUCUCAGAUGGCACAUGCGGUGCAAUUCAACUCCCAUCAGCAUGAAGAAACAUUUUCCUACCAGCUUCAGUGGGAGCUGGACUGGAACCAUAAAUCAGAAGAUGCUCCAUGCUAAUGGUUACGUGGUAUGCUACAAAACUACUCCAGAAUACAAAGCAAUCAUGUAGCAGUUCUCAUAAAGCCAGUUUGCUUGUGGUUUUACAGUCCCUGAAUCAGAAGAGUAAGAAAGAAAGACAUGCCAGGUAGCAGGCUAGUUUUGCCUUGCAGGCUAGAAAUUAAAUAACCUCCUUUCACAAGGUGAGGGUCUUAGUCUUACAGGCUAAGGAAAAAAGAUUCAAUAUAUGGAUUUAAUUCCUAUAGAAAUCUUAUUCAAAGACUGUAUAAUGUACAGCUAAACAGCAAGGGAAUAACUGCCAUCAUCUGGCUGAAUUUGGUAAAAUUGAGUUAAUUUGCACUUCUUUAGGGAGUCACUGUGUGUGAAAUUAAUCUAAUUUAGAUUGACCAGAAACUGAAAAUGGAAUGAAGGAGAAAAGCAAUUAAAGGCCUUUCCUAAACACAAAAAUAGUAGUGCUUUAAAUGCAACAAUACAGUUAAGGCACAGAACCCUUCAUGCCAAUACCACCACCGCUUCCUGCUCGAGGAGGAGAAUAGCAGGCUGCAUAUCUGCACAUCAUGGUUAUACCGGUAUAACUCCAUCCAAAAAAAACAUCGGUAGGUUUCUAACAACAUCUGUAAAUGAAUGCGUUUUCAAGAUUGUAUUUGCAGUUAAAACAGUUCACCAUUCUGCAUAUGGACCAGGCCUAGCAGAUAAACAUCUGCUGGAAUGGCUGACGGUAAUUUAUUAUACAUGUGGCUUAACAUUUACUUCAAUAGCUUUUAGCACCUUCAUAUUAUUGUUACUGUGCUGCUCCAACUAGCAGUGCUUAAUGUAAGAUGCAGAAGUUCACAUACCAUAUAUUUAUGAGUAACUGGUUUCCAGAGAUGUGGCAGCGAUAACAUUGUCAUCAUACGAUUCAGGGUAGCUUGCGGUAGGUCACAUAUCAGGAGAGGGUCCCACCUGAAAACAUAACACAUCCAGAUAUUGUUCAUCGUACUCAGAGGUUUACUUCAAGCUUUACUAACGCAUGUACGUGCUUUGACAUAGAGUUAGCAGCACCCAUGUUCCUCUCAGGCUCACAGAAGUCAUUCUUCUACUCACAGUGGCAAGGAAAAUAUCCCUGCUGUCUCCAAACUGUUCUGGCCACUGCUACAGGACAGAUUUCAGGCACGCUAUGAAGGCAAUCAAGGUAGUGACAACAAAUUUUCAUUGUCAAUGCAUAAAGUGUAACUGUCUGGUGGACAGCUUUUCCAUUUGCCAGGUGUUCAACAAGCAGGUAAUACCUUUCACCUUUCACCAGUGCAUUAGCAGCUGGGCUCAACCUUUUUUUUUUCCUUUUUCUAAUUGAAAAUCUCCAGCUUAAAAGGUGCAGCAUUGGAGCUCCUGCAUGAACUAUUUUCUUGACAUCAAAGGAUCUUAAAAAGAAUUACUUUCCUAUCGGUGACUACAGUCAUGUUAUUUGUAAUAAUUUAAUUAUGUAAAAUCACUUGAUAGGUGGGCCUGUUGUUCAAUAUUUUGAUAAAUGCAGAUACGGACAAUGAGAUUGUACUGGCACCACUGUUUCCUCUGAAAAGGUAGAUGGCGAAAAAACAAACCAACUUUCCAGCUUAAAAGCUAGGAAAGCUUUUUCCUACUAAAACUAAUGGCAAAACCAUAACUGAUGGAAACAAGUUGGUUCAGGAAAUCUUAAAAUCUGCAGCACUAAAUAAAUGAAAAAUUGCUUGGACCAUGUAUCUCCUUGAGUGAAAUGAGGGCAAGAAUUAAGAAAUUCAUUUUUAAAUUUUAUUGACUAGCCCUACAGUGCAAUAUAUGUAAAGCUAUAAAACCAGCUUUGAUAUAUAAGGCAGAUUAACUGGGGUCCCCUCAUUUUGAAAGUGUGAAUAAAAUGACUUACAGGAUACCCAAAAAUACACCCAGAGCACACUCAUACAGACACAACCACAGUGGUCUCGAGUCGCAUCAGAGAUAAAGUCGGAGUUCUGUCUUUUUAAACCGAGUGUCCCCAGACAGAAACCAAUCUUCCUCCUGCUCUGCAAACUGCAUCUCAUUCUAGGGUAGGAGGUUUUCAGGAGGGAAGUCUGGUAAAUAACAAAGAACUUUAAAGAAAUGAUGUUGUUAGAUUUUACCCACAGUUUACAUUUUUUAAAUUACUCUAAUGCUUCUCUGACUCUUCAUACCUCCAAAGUGGCUUGGCUCUUGCAUUUAUUACGCUUCAUUGGCCAGCCACAACAUCACACAGCACUCCAGCACCAAAUACUUCUGCGUUUUCUGCCAACUAAGCAAGUCAGUGUCUCCUACACUCUGCAUUUGGUAUUUAAUAACAAACUUAAGGUCAGAAGAGCGAACUCCAUGGUCGAAAACAAGAAAAAAAUAUAUAUACUUGCAAAGGGUAUACUUCCAAUGGCACAAUGGUAAUACGCCAUAUCUCCUAUUUACACUGCUUCUGAGCAGGCAAACAUAAGUUGGCAAACAGAAGCAGCCACAAGAAGAGAAAGUAUAUUUAGGUGUACUCAUAGGUGCUCCACAAGGCCCCACUCCAGGCUUUCUGUAGCUUACAGACCUAUGUGAAUUCAGCUGGGGGCUGCUGAAAACAAGUGCAGUCACUGGCUGAAGGACAGCAGGUGAAGAAUAUACAUCCUGGCACGGACAGACGGGAACGCGGUUUGAACAGCACCGACUGCCUGUGAGCUCUUCCAAUACAGCCUAACACCCAGCACAACUCACAGCACUUCUGCCCUAACCAAUACGGGCUUCAGAACAAGUCUGCCUGGGGAAUUCUGCUAGAAAGCAGACACAGAGGACUCUCUGUUAUUAGCAUGAACUGCUAUGAAUAUUAGUGCUAGAAUUCGAGUACAUAUCUGCGCUACCAGAAAGACAUGAGUAUAAAAGAAAUAGAAAGCAUUAUCUGGAUUUGGUGGACAGCUUUAAAAGUACACUUAAAACUUUUAAGGAGUAGAUAACCACCAACUCUUCACAUUCAGAUCAUUAUAAAGGAGAUUCCUUAAAAUAGACGUUUUUCAGUGUUAGAAUCCUUCCAUUGACCUGCUUAAAUUUUACUUCCCAAUUCCAUUUCACGUUCAUUAAAGGCUUGGGGGGAAGAAAAAAAAAAAAAAAAAAAAAGCCUUCCCUCCCAAAGAAAUUAUCUGUAGCACCUUUACCAUAAAAGGAUGCUGCUGAAAAUGGCUAGCUGUCUUCAACAGGAAAAUACAGCAAAAUACAGCAUCACACAACUCAUUCUUUUGGAGAUUUAUUUGGAGUAAUUUAAUCAGUCUUUCCCUAAUGAUUGCACUUAAUCACGUAACUUACAUCACCUCAUUUACGUUUUAAAAAACUACCGGAAUUUUCCAGGUGAAUAAUUUAUUUAAACAUUUUGUUGUUGUUGUCUGCUAACUGUAAUCUUGGAAAAUGGGUGUUUGGAAACAAAAGCCCUAAAUCACCACGUGAAUAGAAAAGAAUGAUCACAAAGUAGCUACACCUUGAACACAAAUAAAUCAUAACACAAGGAACCAAAUGAAAUGCAUGUCUAAUGAAUUAGUUCAAAACUAAGGUUUUGCCUGCUACAGAUUGGUAGCAUUCAAAAGCCAUACUGUCUGAGGUCCUGCAUGGAAUAAGUUUGGAGUCCUCUGUUUAAUUGUCUCUGGACCCUUUUGCUGAGAUUCCUUCACAGGUUCUUAACCCUCUUAUUCAGCAAGGGUAAGGCCACGGUCUAGAUUCUGAAGUCCACAAGGCACAUUCAACACGUAUCACCUUUUUGCUCACAGUUGAGAUGGAGGGAUCUUGGGGACCACACGGGAGAAUGCCAGAACUCUUCAAAAUGAAAAGCACUUCUUCUAGAGCAGAAGGCACUGGGGAGCAGCUGUUAAGAGGAGGCCGAACUACUUAUGAAUGUGACAACUUUCAAGACCUUUCACAAAGAUUCUUUUGAGUAGAGACUUUCCAACGUCUUUCCUUUGCUAAGACUAGAAUACCAAAGUUCUGAAAAUACACUUUGACAGAACUUGCAAGUCCUACAAGAACCUCUUUAAAGCAAAGGCAAAGCCUUUCUGGGUGAAUUAGAAGCCUAGAAGCCUUUGUGAAAUCUGAAAAUGUAAAUUAUAUAAGAGAUAUUUAAGUACAUGGCUCUGACAAUGAUGGAAAUAGCUGGUGCAGACAGCAAUACACUGGAGAGCCAGCCCUUAAAAUCUUGGUAGGGGAUGGAUUGGGAACUAAAGACACAAAUCAAUACAGUUUCUACAUAAAGAGAGAAUUGUAAGAAAGUACACAUAGUUCUUGUCCAAACUGUAUAUUUACUAGGCUAGACAGUAAUCCCCAGUGCCAUCAAUUAAGACCUUCAUUUUCAUGCGCAGUAUGUUCCUACUUUUAAUGAAAUGCAAACAUUAGGCACAGUUAGAAAAAAUUAAUGGAAGCUGAAAUAUAUUGUUUGCUGUCAGCUCACUCUCACAUUAGCAUGCAAUUGCUUCUCAAAACUGAGUCUACUGGUCAGAAAGCAAUCCUAAAACUAUACUCACACAUAAUGAACUACAGAUUGGUUACUCUUUCACCCCGAAGUAUUAUUUUCUUAUAAUAAAGUAUGACACUGAAGAAGAAAAUAUGUAAUCUUUUGCACCAUAAAUGUUCACAUUAACACACGCUGCAUAUUCACACCGACAAAGAUGAAGAUAACUUACAGACAUGGGUGUUUAGAAUAUGCCUAUAAGGCAUUGCUGUGCUUUUGGACUUAGCAAGGUUUCAGCAAUUCUUUCUCCACUUCCAAUAAAUACUGUUUGCAGACUUGAAAAAUGAAUGAAAACUCAUAAAAUGGACAAAAUACCUAAACCAACACGGUUAGAUUGGCUAGGUACAGACACCAAAUUGUUUACUACAAUCAGAUCUAAGUAGUAAGCCUCACGAAUUCUCCAGAUAUAUGUAAUUUAUUAUAAAUUCUUGAAAAAAAAACUAUAGCUUCUAAUUACAAAAGAAGUACAUACCUAUGAAUAGCCUUUCAGAAAAACAUAUUUUAAAAUGAAAAUUAAAAAGUAACUUAUGAUCUGUUAACACAUUAUCUUGCUUGAAGAAAUAAAUCUUUCUUCUCCUUUCCUCACAAAAAAAUGGAAGGAAUUGAGAAAGGAAUUACAGUCCCAAGUCUUACUUUCCCGGCAUCUGCCUGUGUCAGAAGUUAAGCAUUAUGUCAAUAAAGGUGAGAAAACUCCUAUCUUAGUUCUCUUGUGACAUCCAAAGCUACACUACAGGCACCACAGCAUGUGUGUACUUUACUGGGCAACAGAAAACAUGGAUGAUUCCGUUGCCUGUAAAAUGUACCAGGCUGAUAUCCACAUUCACUGAAGGUCUCUUCUCUGCACAGAACAUGUGUAGUGAAGCAGCAAUGCAAGCUGCUUCUCGAGCAGUGUUUCCAAACACUCCUUGGUUACAUCCUGGAAUGAAGAGGAGCAGCAGUUUCUCAGUAACCAAGAGUUACGUGGCCGAGAACAACAAUUCAGUUCUGCACUUGUGAUGUCCUAACACUAAUAAGCAAUCAGUAAAGAGGGGGAACAAGGAGAGCAGGAAAAUGCAGCUACAAACACAAGAUGCACUGCACCAGAAACCUCCACUGAAGUGUACAUGUACCCUCCACCAGACAGCAUCGAGGGGUUCAAAAUGAGAUACGACAUGCUGCCCUGUGCAAAGCUGCACAAAGGAAGCAGUAAGAAAAAUACUGCAUGAAAACCUACAGACAAGCAGUACUUUUCUCUUGGACCUUCUUUAAUAAAUCAUGCAGAGGGCAGAAUCAAAAAAUAUCUACCAGAUCGUCUCUGGCAUGAUAUAUUCCAUCAGCACUACCCAAUUAAGUGCUUUGCUCUCUUUCUCAUUAUGACUUGCUUUGACCUUUCACUUUUUUUUUCACUAAUUCCUUUUUUAAAUUCCGUGCCUCGUUCUCAUGAACGUUAGCGAUCACAAGGUACAUUGAGAAUGACAGGCAGUGACCAUUACUGGGGGCUGUCGCGCUCGGGCUGCGAUGCAGCGAUCAUCCGGAGGCUGGGACACCAGCACGGCGCAAGAAGGUCACCCACAUCCCUGUCCUUGCAGAGAUCAGCGCUUCCGAAAAACAGCCUCCUAAAUCAAGACCUAACAUCCAGAGCAUUUCACAAGAAAUCCUAUAUCUCUUCCAGCAACAGCCAUGAAAGUUUCGUAUCAGAGAACAAAUGUCAUUAAAAGGAGUAUGCUGUUAGACAUGACGGCACGUGUUGGGGCUGUGAAAGUAGGGGGAAAACACCCAGCCCCCUAAGAACACACUGUGAAAGACACAAAGACAGACAGAGACAGUCUGAAGUGGCACAAAGAGAUCUGAUCACUAAUCAGAGACAGAACUCCUCCGAGAGUCACAAGCGUCUCUGCAGGCUCUGAGAGACAGAAUUAAAUUGGCUUAGUACUAUAUUCAAAAGUGAAUUUAAUUAGCUGACAUUAAGCAGGAUAAGUUUGCGGUACCAUGUUGCUCUGACAAGCCGUCUCCAGAAGGGUAAGUGGAAGGUAAAGUCGUAUUUUUCAAGAUGAGAUCACAGAUGUGCACCUACAGUGUAACAGAGCGUCUGCUGAGGGCGGCUCAGAGCUCGCAACGGGCACAUCCUCUGCACAGCAAAGGAUGGUCUGCAAUAAGAGGAGCCAGAAGAACCAAUUUUGCACAUUUAUUCUUACAAAUGUACGUUGCACCUCUUUGUGAUGUUGCCCCAUCCAUGAAGACAGCCUCAGCACCAUCUCUGCCAACUCCUCCCAGCUAGGCCUGUCCCCGAUGUGCAGUGCAGCAGGUGCCAUUUCUUUCUGUCUGCACCCCUGGCUGGGCAGCCAGGGCUGCUUUCUGCUGGCAACCCGCUGUGCUGCACCCAGCACCAGCGGGAAGCCAGGGAGAGGAUGGUGCAGGCGGAAGCUGUGGCUGCAAUCUUGAGGUAGCAUGUAACAACUGGAGAGUCAGGAUAAACCCAAAUCAGGUGUUUCCCCGAGGGAGACUUGGAGGAAAUGGAACAACACAUUCCAAAGCAAAAGCUUCAUGCAUGUGAAACUUAACAAGACUGCCCUUUGCAUGCCUCCUUCUGUUUGAUGAUGAACUUGGUUCUGGUGAAAAGUGUCCUGCUGUCAGUGCUAGAAAUCCUGAUGGAAAUCCAGCUGAUGUGCAAAGCAGGCACAUGCUCACCCCAGGCUGUGACUGUGGAUGCUACUACUUACAUCACUCAGGUUCAUGCCCCAGCCCUGGCAUUAGCACCAACCCAGACUUAACAGGCAAGGCAGAGAGGCUUUGCCCAUCCCAUUAGCAGCAAUCCCUCGAGAGUUGCUGCUCCCUUACAUGCCACAACUGCACAGUAACGUAAGCUCUCAAUUUAAGCCAGGAGUGCCCUUCCUCACCAGAUCCAUAUAAAGGUUGCGCGACUCUGCGUAGCCACAGCAGGUUUUAAGAGUAAGCUCUGUGUUCUGCACACCCUUCGUUGGCACCCCAUGCAUAAGCCCGCUUUACUGGCUCCUUAUGCUGACAAACCCUCCAGCAUACCCAGCCAACUCCCCUGCCAUAUCUGGACCAGUAAAUCUAUUGUGCCCAACUCCAUCCCUGUCCCGGCGUGAUCUACCAGCAGAGGCAAAGCGGAGAGCAGCAGCCGGCAGGCAGGGCUGAAUUUAGGCAGCGGAUAGAGACCCAAGUUCUACAAACCUUUGAAUCUCUCUGUUUGUUUUCUUACAUAGAAAACAAUCCGGCUGCGUUUCAGCUAUACUGAGCACCACAAAUAGAAAUAUUACUUGUUACUUAUAUACAUCACUUAUUACUAUGUAUAUAAAAAUUGCCUUCAAUUAAACCCAGCUACAAAUGGAGGACAUACGAUUUCAUAGCAUUAGUUCUUAAUUAUUUCACUCUCUGCAGGAAACUCAAGUCCACAGCUGAGUGCGAAUAAAGACACAAGAUCUUUAUGAUAUGAAAAGCAAAACAAUGGCCUGACAUGACCUAACUAAAGCACAGGAUACUACCUCCCCAGGGCAGAAAUCUCCAUACUCCAAAACUUCCUUCCAAGUGCUCUGAAUACAUUAUUAGACAAAGAAACAUGAAAUUCACUUUUGCAAGGCAACAACAGUUUUUAAAAUAGCAGCGUCUAACAUUAUUCCAUCAAUCUUAAAAAAAAAUCCAUGUGCUUUAAGUCAGAAGGGGCCUUUAAACUUCAGAAUGAAACAAAUUUAAGCCUGAAUCACAGCGCAAAGAUACAUGUAAUAAACUCCAAAUAUGUCAAAAGCUUCACUGGUGCAAGGUUUGCUGAAGGUCUAGCGUAGGGCUUAUGGCUCACACAGCGCCACAAGGCUGACCUCUAUGUAACAUCUGGUGCUGGGAGUGCUACCUUAUGCGGAUGGAGGAACGGACUCCGCUCUCGGCUGCCUUGAGUUUUAGAUCUGACACUGGAAGGCAUCUCACCACCUGUCUUUGAUUCCCAUGAUAAUGUUUCUUACCGCUCCUAAUCUUGUGAGAUACUUACAUUGUAAAUAGGGCGUGCCUUAAGAUGCAAGUCUAGGAAGCCUACAUCUUCACAGAAACCUUCAGAUAUUAUCACGGAGAAAAUAAUAAAUCACUUGUAUCUCACAGUUCCAACAUUUUGCCAUUUUUACAGAGCUUCCUAUUCAGCAAGUAUUCCCAAAGGAAUACAUUCUGUCUUCCUCACAAGAUAUCUUUUGUAGCCUCGUUUCCUCAGUAAAAGAGAUCUGCAACCACAUUGUGUGUAAUGGCAUGCCUGUACCUGUCUCUUCCCUACUAAUUUCUCUAAAGAGAUUUAACAGACAUAGCAAGCUUAACUGCACCACCGUUGCCAGAAGUUCCUUCCAAUCCCAAUUUGUGCUUGAACAGACAAGAGAGGGCCCAUUAGCAUCCUCAAGGGAAAAACAGCACCAUUAACUGGUAAAACACCACAGAAUCCCUAGAGAAAAUAGGCACGUGGAGAUGCAACACUACUAAAAGCUGAAGUCUGCACCUAAUCACCCCUAAAGAAAGGUGGGAAGGAAGCAGGUCUGGGCACUGCAACACACAGCUCGACAGCUCACCUAUGGCUGUGGAUCGCAGCGCUCUAGCUGGCUCUUCGUCAGGCACAUCUGCUGCCACCUCAACAGCUGCCGCUUCAUAACCACCCAGCCCCUACACCUCCCGCUGGGUCCCUCAAGGUGAGGCACUGACAAAUAAGAUCCCUUGAAUCUGUUAUUCCAGCACAGCCACAACAAACUGCUGCUGCAGGCACCAGUUUGUUUCCUACAAACACCCUGUGCCCGGCGCUUAUCAUACAUCUCACACACUACAUAUUUGCAUGUAAAAUUAUAUUCAGACAUUUAUAGACAUUGUUGAGAUUUCAAAAUAUUAUUAGCAUAAUGAAAAAAAAAAAACACGAGAAAACUUUUAAAGUAAUUUAUUACUAUUUCCCACACUCAGUAAGGAAAAAUUAUUGCAUCAAUUUAUGUAUUUUAUACUAUCAGAAACACGUUUGAAAAGCAGGCACUGCUAGUUUCUAGCAUCCUGUUCCCAGUUUUGCACUUUUAGCAACUAAGAGUUUCAUCUGUUGGUGGAGGGAAGAUUUUGAGUGCAACUACAAGAAAUGGCUUGUAGUUGAAAGACAGAUGACAGCAGUAUGGAGUGAGUAACCGGAAUAUUUUAGAAAAAUUUUAGACUUCUUUCUAUUGAUAUAAUAUGGACAGCAGAUGGGUUUUUAAAUGCAACUCUUGGUACAACUUUGCAUGUGAGAAGGAAAAUAAUUUGGAGUUCGUGAAAACGGGAGCAGAUUGUUCUGUGAAUCCAGUUGGUGUCAUUCCUCAGCCUUAAACUCUCCUGCAAAACACUGUAAGCAGAACAGCAGGAGUCCCAAAAUUCCCCACCCUGGCUCCAGUUCAUUAAGCUGUUUCUAUUCACAAUGUACGCCUAUAUUAAAGAGCAUGUGCAGGACCCAGGGAUUUCACUACAACUUAGGAAUCUGCCUGGAAUUAAAGUUGCACUUGAAGGUUUUGUGAAGAAAGCAUGAGGUACACCUGGCAGAUACUUGGCCCAGGGUGGGCUCCCCUUUUCACUGGGUCUAUAUGCUAUGUUUUCUGCCCAUCACAGGAUUCUCUGCAUUUGCUAAGCAGCUCACAACGAGAUGUCUGGGAAGGAUGGGUGCUGCAGCAUGCAGGAAGCAUUCCAGCAAUAAGAACUGCUAGGCAGGAGAUGAGAUGAGCAGAAAGGACGGCCAGCGGGCAGCACAUCCUACUGAAUAUGCCAGAAGGGUCACUGGCAAAACAGAAGGAAGUGGGCAGUAUCAAGAGCACAAUUAUUUAAAUCAUCUAAAUUAGCACAGCCCUCCCUGCUGCUUUCACAGCCCCAAUCCUGUGGCAUCACCCAGUCAAAGCAGCUGGGGGCAGAGCUGUGAAAAGCUGCGAGGUCUGGUUAUGAAGCAGGGAUGAGCAACGUUUCCUAGAGAGGUCCAUCAGUGAGGUGCAUGCAUUGCUGAUGAAAGAGCUUAGCAGAGACUAACUUUGAAGCACUCCUCACCACAGCCAGCUCUGAUUCCCAAAUUGCUAUUCUCAGAGCUCUGCUACAACAUCCCAACCAGGUCAGAAGCCAAGGUAACUGCACUGUCUUUGGGCACAGAGGGACAGGUCACAAUGCUGAGGCUGGAGGGGACGUCUGGAGGUCACCUGCUCCCAUUCCCUGCAUCUUGAUGGCUGCUCAGGACUAUACCAUCGUCUGCUAUGAACAGACGUGGCUCUGGGGCUGCCUGUGAUGUCUUGAUGACCCAUACGUGCCACAGAUGCCACACAGUCUUCCAGGCAAGGCCUAUGAGAGUCCUUAGGGCCUUCCUCUGGCAGGAAGCAUUGCUGUGCCCUACAGAUCCACAAACAUUUUCUAGGGUUCCCACUUGCUAUCUUAUGCCAGACUUUACUCAGUUCAGUUACUCUCCGAACUGCCUAGAUACUUCAAAAUGCAUAUUUCACAAAGUUGGAAAAAAAAAAAAAGCCAGGGUAAUACCAGGGCAUUCUGCACUGCUCGUAUUAGUUCUUACCACAGCAGAAAUAUCUUUUCCCUGCACUCUUCAACACUGCUGUUUAACACUCAACACAACACAAUAUCUUAAAUUACAAACAUCCACUUUGAAUUCUACCAGUUUGUUUGGGAGGAAAAAACGUACCCCUUCUUAUUCUAAACAGGGCAUUUAACAUUUGGACCCAGAUCUACACAAGUUGCCCUUCUCAGCAUCGUAGUCUCUGAUUCUGCUUUAGCCUGGCUGUUUUCACUCCCAAGCAAAGGAGACAGAACUGGGCCCUGAAACUGCAUGUAGCCUGACUGCUGUAUGGUCUUUAACAGCAGUGUACUCAUGGUAAGUAGCGCAAUUAUUGAUCGCUCAGAGAAUGGCCACUUAAAAGCACACCAAAAAAACACAAAAGGUUCAAGUCUUGCAAUUGGUGUUAGUACAGAGCACCUACUGGCUCUGUAUGGAUCAAAAGCAGAACACAGCAUCUGCCUACGUGACAUCUCAGUCAGGUGAGGAAGCGUUACUGACAUAAAGAGAAUAUUGCGCAGCGAGGGUAUUUUUGUGCAAAACUCGUAUUUAUGAAUUUAACUCACAUGAAAAUCAGUGUAAGGUGGUGUGAACCUUACCCCAAACGCAUGAGCUGUGUAGCAGAACCAGGAACUGAAUCUGCGGGCAUCAAACCCCUCCCAUCCAGCUAGUCACUAGACCGUGUUUCCUUAGGUAGAGUAUUACAUACAGUAACUACAUCACAGCAGCUGUAUACUGCUAAAUUCUCUGAUCAACACCUGGUGGACAGUAAAAUAUGCCAAAAUAAAAUAAAACGUACAUUCUAUGCACAGGGCUGUCAUUUCUAGUGUCAGUGUAAAGCGUUCAAGUUCCAAGUGCAAACACAAGAAUUAAAAGUAGUUUUACAGGUGAAACGAAACACGCGUUGAAGCAUGGAGUGUCAUUCUAGUUUUCAGAUUACCUUAAAAAAAUAGUUUCAUUUCAAAUCUACACCUCAGAGGAAAUGAAAAAAAAUUCCCUUUCUCACUGCAGCAGCCAGGCACCUUACUGUAGCAUGCUAUCAAAAUGGACUAGCUGCAGAAUGAACUGAAUCGGCACCACCAAGGCUGAAAAGAUUUUAAUCUGCAAAUGCCACACUGUGGAAAGCAACUGCUCAAGCAAGCAUGCUCCAUGCAGAUAAAGCAAAUCUUCAUGCUGCACUUAGAAAAACAAAUUCCAUUCACAAAACAAAGCGCAGCUAUAAACAUCUCCAAGGUUUGGGAGGGUUCAAAGCCAGGGUCAGCUGAGGUGAAGAAAGAGAACAUACGCAUUUCUGGAUGGUGAGACAAACUCUCUGGAUCACAAAUAUGUGUUGUGCUGGUGCUUCCAAAGAGAUGCGUACCAUGGCAAUAGCAGUGCAGAACUGCGCUCACCUCAGCAGGAGUGACGGUGCGUUCAGCCCACCUCUGUGGCCACUCUCAUCUGGGACUGCACAAAAGCUUUUAUUUCUCAUUCCCCAAAGAGCAGAAGCAUUAUGAACUGUGAUCUGACUGUGCCACAGCUGUUACACAUCCACACAGGACAAGCGGUAGAGUUGAGAACAAUUACAGGAACAACACUAAUGCUCUCCAGUGAAAUCCAUACUAAAACUCGUUGCUGCAAUGAGGAGCUCGGUCCCUGUACCUCUGAUGUUACAUUAUGCAACCUUCAGUGUUACCUUGAGGAUGACUUCCCCCUUCCCCCUACACACACAGACACACGCACAGAAGUUUUGGGGAUGCAAAGUGUUCGUGUUUCAGCAACAAAAUAUGGAGAAAGCAUGCCCAUUGCUUGGCUCCUCAGAUCAUACUGGGGACCACAGAGUACCACAGUUAAGAGAAAGUAAGCCUGCAAUAAUGACAUUUCAGUACAACUCUCCCAUCUUAAUCUGUUCACACCAAAUCUUUGUUUUUAAAUUAUCAGCCUGACUGUUCUUAUUUUUAAUUUUUUUCUUGAAGAGCUGCUUCAGUCUGCUAGGAGAAUUCUGCUUGCAGAUGGCUUGGUAAUGACAUACAAACAGAGCAUUAAAUAGGAAAAAUGCAACACACAAUGCUUUUUUCUCCUUUACAUAUUUAAUCCUAUUUUGCACCUAGCCACUUUCAUGCUGAGCAUCUCAAGUCCUGAGUAAUUAGUGUAAAUUAAAUUUCUUUUCUUUUUUUUUUUUUUUUUUUUUUUUUAAGCUGACAGAAAUAGUGAAGCUGAAUUGGUAAUUAUUUCAAGUUUUGCUGCAAUAUGAGAAGAACUUGAUAACCUGGGGAUACUUUACGGGGUUGAAUGGACAAGAUAACAUUGGCUUUCAAGAGAGGCAAGGAAAAUGAGACAACUGCGCACAACAAUUCCCAGGGCAAGAAAUCUUUCUGCAGAGCAUUCUGACCAAGACUACUAACCUCUGACGAUCAUUUCAAGGACCCCAGGAUGUGAGAGCUGCUCCUCGACAAGCCAAUCUUUGUGCGCACACCGAUACCCCACCACACUCAUACACAGCAGUGUUACUCGUGGUAUUUUCUUUCACACAGCAGCCACCUGUUUGCCCUGCUUUGCUCAUUCACGUUGCCCUGAUCUCAACAGAAAUUCCAGUAGAAACCAAGGGCAGCCCCUCCUGUGCUGCCCACUCCUCACACCAUGGCCAUUGAGCAGCCCUCACGUCCCACCAAAGAGCAAGGGAAGAUCCCACAAAAGACACUUCAAUCUUCCUAAUUAGUCACAUCAUAGAAUGGCGACCUUGCUACUAUUGAUAGUGUGCAAAAAAAAAAAAAAAAAAAAAAAAGCCAAUAAUUUAAUUUGAUGCCUCUACGUAAUAUUCACCUGCAUUGAGGAAAUCAUAGAUUUUCAGAAAGGACAUUACUACUAGCCAAAAAAGUAUUAUGGAGUAAAAAGGAAAGAGUACUGGAGUCAAAGCAACUAGAAAUCAUUUGAUGAACUUUAUAUUUAGUUAACAAUCAUGCAAAUUCAGGAGAGCGUCCUUCUCCACCCACCAGAUGUUGGUGUCCUUCUGUAGCACUACUUCUACACUUGGCUCUACUGUUCUCCUAAUAACGCACAGCUAUACAAAACUAAGUCAAUCCAAUAAGAUAAAGUUAUUCUAAGACUGAAACUUCUCUUCAGUUUUCCUAAAAGACAAGUUUCGUCUGAGGGGUGCUGCGCUGCAUUUGUUUAGAAAACAAGGACAUAAUGAGAGCAACACAACCCCCUUCUUUAUAAUGCUUUUUCAACAUCUUUGUCUGUGACCUGAGUGACCUUCUGUGUGAGAAAAUCUAUGUAGAGAAAAUCCGUGUUGAGAAAAUCCAGGCUUGUUCAGCCCUUGUUCGCCAAGUUCAGAGUGCUAGCAAUGGCGCUAGUUACAGGAGCAACUUGGAGACGUAACUGUUUCUUCUUCUAACAUCUCUGCUGCUAUCUGCCCUGACACGUAAUCAGCCACUGUGUUUGUAAGCAUGUAUGGUAACAGAGAAAUGAAAACCAUAAAUAUCAGCACUUUUUUUUUUUUUUGCUUAUUUGUUACUAAUAUUAGUAAAAUCUCAAAGUACAGCGGUUAGCAGUCCUUCUCUACACUUUAAUUUUAUCCAUGUAUGAAAAAAUACAGAAAGAUUUGCUUAACGUGAGAAGGACGAUUUGAAAAGAAAUUCAUGAACAUUAAAUCAUUCCUUUUCCAAACCACCAUCUUUGCCAUUCCCUUCCUAAAGGCUAUUAUUCUCAGUGCUUUAUUUCCCAAUAUGGUUACGUGAUUUUUGUAUCCGUGUCACCAAAGGAAAAGGUUAUCCCAGGCUUAACAUCUCGGUACAGCUUUUAAGAUCAAAACUGAGUAACGGUAGAGAAAAUUGUCAAGGAAAAAUUAUGAAAGAGAGAUUUGACUUAAAAUCAAUUGCUUUGAUUCUAAUGCAUUCAUAGAACCACUUGCUUCCCCUUUUCCAUAAACUGGUUGUAAAAUCUCUUGAGACAGAGGACUACUGUAGAGUAUACAUGCCUAAUGACCCUAUAGGGGCAUAUUUAAAAGAAGAAAGGAGAUUUAUAUAACAAUUCAUAGGGGCUAUCACAGCUCAUCAAGUUAUUAUUAUUUUUUUUUUUACAUAUGAAAUCAGUCUAAUUUAUGAGACUUCUCACAUUAUUCUACGCUGCUUUUCCAGAAGAAAAACAACAGGGAGGGGGGCAGAAUUUGGCAGGCAAGGAUACAAAAUCCUCCAAGGACUGCACACGGCUGGGCAAAUUCACCCUUCUGUCUGUUAAACAUUCCCAUCUCAAGACUUUGUUUCAAGACGCAUUCUCAUAAUGAAUAGCUGGAACUUGUCUGUAAGGCCGAGAAUAACAACACACAGCGUUUAAUUUCCAAAGCCAGUCAUAUCCUAUCUUGCAGAAGGCUGAAUACUGUUAUUCCUUAGCACAUCUUGCUUUCCCCUGCUUGCAAGCAUCUUGCCAUGCAUGAUUCAUGUUACAUAACUCCAGCUUGUUAAAAACAACUGUUAUUUUGCUAGGUAGCGCGAUAGAUUAAUGAGGUAAAUUCAGAACUUGCUUAUUACAGAGUGCAGACUGAAGCCGCUCUCUAAUAAUAUGCCUCUGCAACAUUAACCAAAUAAAUAAGCAACCGCACCAGAACUGGAUACAUUCGAAGUUAAUUCAAUCUUGCAAAUGCAGGACGCUGUAUUUUAGACUAAUCAACAUCUCGUCUCACACCACAAUAUGCAAAUUCACUGGUGCAUAUGUACUUCGUUUUUACAAGUGACCCCCCGGCACCCCAUUCAUUAGAGGAUAACAGCUGAAUAUUGAACCAAUUAAUUCUCUUGUACGAACUCUGCAGUGCUUUAAUUUUUUGGGGGCUGCCUUUGAUGAGACAAAAUGCUCUGCCCUCAGCCAGCUGCAAAAGGCUCGUGUUUCUCAACAACCCUUCUUACUCAUAUCCCUGUUUUGGUUACAAGCAUAAAGCCACAGCUAAAGAGGGUUAAGCAGGCUUCCUGCCGAUGCUCUGCAAGAAGAGAGCCUCCCUGCUCCACCAGGGCACAGCAGUCUCUUCAGCCGUUCACGCUCAGCAUUACUCAGCAAUAUCGGGGCCACAUUCCAGGAUCCCUGCAUGCCCACCUGGGAGCGUGUCCUCUAUAUUAUGCAAGUUGCCUCCCCACAGCAACUCAUCGCCUGACCAUCCUGCUCCUUCCAGCCGAGGCACAUCCAGUGACAAGCUCUGUGCAGCGAGCCAUUGCAACACAACUGGAUUCUCUUCUCCAGGGGAAAAUCACUACAUAAGCUGCCCCACACCUGGCACCAGCGCAGAAGUGACAGCGAGCAGCUGGCAGCCCCAGCACAGGGCGGGCACAGCACACAGCUGUGCAACCUGGAAGUGGGUCUGAGCCUGCCGCACCACAGGGGAAGGGAGGGAGAAAAGGCAGCGCUGCUCAGUGCAGGAAGACGGGGAGGCCAUGAGUGUUUCCUGUUGUGCAGCUGAAACAAGCAAAGACGUCAUUACACUCACACUCCCUCAGGGUGUCAGCAGAUUGAGGGCCAAAGUUCAGACGUUUCCAACGUGCGGCAAGGAGGGAGAUUUUGGAGGAACCAGCAGCGGCUUCUCUGCGCUUGCACAGCAAAACAGAUGAGCAGCGUGUUACCAGGCUCAGCUGCAAAGCAUCCUAUGUGACUAGAAACAAUAUUUGCUCAGGAGCCGUGCUGCUCUGGUUUUUCUUGUUCAGCUUGUGUAAGGAAUAUUACUGCAGUGUGGGGAUGCACUCGGCUCUCGCUGCAGCCCAUACUUCUGCUAGCAUCAGGAAAUGAAGCCUUACACACUUCUGGAUCCCACGGAGUAAAACAUGUUUUCUGUAUGCAUUUAGGGAAAAACUGGAGUGUGAAACUACAGGAUCCCCUUGUUGGAGAUGGCUGACAACCCAGCAAAGUGAAUGCAGAUGCUUCUAUUUAAUUUCCCUCCUGCUUUUCUGAAGCAAAUAAGAGCACAGUAUAUGGAAGACUGUGGAGGCGCAGAAGCUGUGCCAUAGCACAUGGCCACUGAGCAUUCGGUAACUCCUCCUCUGACCCUAACUAAAUCAUUAGCAACCUUAUCAGGUAGGUAGAGGGAGACACCAGCUUUCAGCCCUACCCACCGCUAUCACCCUCUUAAAAAAAAACACUGCAAAGCCUUUUUGAUGGAAAGCUUCAUUAGGGAUUCAUAUGAGAGUACUGGGAGGUCUCUGUGUCCACUGCUGGACAGCCAUUCAGAGCAGCCAUGGGAAGCAGUGUGGCUGCAGCUGUUUCUCACUUCGAACAGGGCAAUGGAUUCACCCACAGCACUCUCCUACCAGCAGCACAGACUCUAGAACCAUUUUCCUUAGUGUCUCAACAGCACAUCAAAAUAUAGUGAUAAAACCAUUCACUCACAGUGAGAAUGUCCCAACAGCAUCCUCUGGGUGCUGGGACAUCAGACCUUCCCUCUGCAUGCUGAGACCAACUGGGCAGCAGUGCUCCAGUUGACAGAAGCUAAUUUUCAAACAGCGGCACAUAAUUCAAUGUACCUCAAUAGAAAACAUCAUAUGGAGUUCAGAAAACACUCAUCCCGAUCCUCACCUCAUACUACCAUCCCUAGCUGAAGAGGUUUUUUGCUGUUCGUGCAGUAACAACCCUAUGGCCACACCAGCAACUGAAGCUAGCCUUUCAGCCUCAGUAAAACAGAGUACUGAAGUUGAAACUAGGGAACCACCAGCCUGUAUCUCAGAGUUACAUUAAAUCACAUCUGUUGCUGGACACAUACAACACCACUGGAUUACUAGCUGCUCAUUUUACUAAAAUAAGGUCAAAGAUAACAUUUUUACAAUCGAACUUUUCAACUAAACAUUUUGGAAAUGCUUUUAAAAACAUGCCCUUUUACAUGGAUACGAACUGCUUUAUUUUCUAUCCUCUGCAUCAGAGUCAAGUUGUUCAGAGACAGCUUGACUGUGGAAUCUUGAAGAUUCAUUGCCCAGAUAGCGUAAGGAAACUCCUACUGCUGCUUGUUCUGACAUUAACUAGAGACUUAAUCCUGAAGUUUGUCAGUGUGGCAUUAUUAUACAUAUGUGAACACCUAUAUAUGCCAUAUAUUGUCUGUUAAACAAAGGAAUACAGAAAGCAACAGCAGCAUUUUUAUACGCUCAUCCACACGCCAAAAGCCAGUCUUCAGCUAAUCACAUCUUCCUGCUCCAUUAGUUGAGGAAGGGUAUAUACCGUCUUUACCAUGGUUUGACAUGAGAAAGUUCCACCUCAUCUAGAUGAUACAAAAUAUUCUUAGAAGAGCUGUAUCUAUUGUGGUUUUUUAUUUAAAACUUCAAAACGUAAAGCAAACGGACGCAUGCAAACUGAACUGGUGUCACUGUUGGUGCCCUUUUACACUGAUGAAAAUGUGUGCUUUUUCACUCCACAACAGAAAUCGGUCGUGGUAAAUACAAAUAUAUAUGGAAAAAAACUCUUCAAGUUGGCUACCUACAAAAUAUUUAACAUCUUUACAUAUCCACACAAAUUCAAUUAUAUUUUUACCCUUUACAACCCAUCUGUGAAAUACUUAGAACAAAACCACUGUGGUGUAUCACUAGGGAAUUUAAACUACUUACAAGGGUUUUAAUAAUCCUUUUGCUUCCACUUGAAACAAUGUCUGAGAGGUGCAAAUGGAAAAGCCAUUAUCUUGAGAUUUUUUGUUGAACUGUCUCAUUAUUAAGGGAAUUCUCUCAAGCAAUCCUAUAAACAGAUCAUUCAAAUAACUUGUGCUGCUUUUAUGAGGAAAACAAGGCAAAUGAAGAUGACAAGAUCCAAACUGCCCAACAUCAGCAGGGAAUCGUUUACCUUAAAACACGUGUGAUAGAGAACACAGAAGCGUGGAGCUUUUUAUCACCAUGUUUGGAACUCAGUCUAGAUGUGGGGCCACGAAUGACUGCCCCUGUGAAAGGACACAAUCCAACCAUGUGUAAAGUCAGGGCCAUGAGGAAGCACUCAAAUGUCCUCCGGUCUCUCUUCCCAUGUACCUCAGAACACUUCCAUAUAGAAGGCCACAUGUUCACAAGUUACUGGAAAAAAAAAAAUGCAUUGCAAAGAAAAACAAUGCUGCUGUGAGAUAAGGCUUGGGUUUAGGAUGAAAACAUAAACCUUGUCUUUCAAAUGGGAUGAUCCUGUUCACUUAAGGUAUGCAUUACUGUCUACAGGCAGAUGGUGUGUAUAUGUGUUUUCCAUGUACACACACACACACACACACGUACAUAUACACACAUACACACAAAUGAAUAAAAGGAAGUGAUUUGGCUGAAUGGAACCAAACCCCUGUGACUGUAGCUAUCUUUACAAAUAAGGAUCAAAUUAAGGAGACUCACUAGACAGAACAAACGGCGUUUUGGAAGCUAAGCAGGGAAAAGACAAGUGAUCAUUUUGAGGCUUGCUCAAGUAUUUAUAUUUUAUUUCAAACGUCUAAUCAUGACAAACCAGAUCUGAAACCCAUGCUUGAGAACCUGCAGUUUUCAACAAUAGGUAACCUAAUUUCAAGAAACCAAAAGCAAUUGCAAAAAUAUUUAUUGAAAUUGCUUUCAUGGAAACAAUGAGAAAACACUAUAAAAAUGUUAAAAAUAUUAAAUCAACUCGACUGCUGCUGUAUCUCAUGAAUUCAACAAGAUCCUAGGCAACAAUAAUAUUUAGAAUAAAUAUUUUCCUUAUGGGAAUAGCAUUUUCCCUCAAAUUGACCAGAUGAUAUCAAUUAAAAAACACAACACAAAGAUUAGAUACAGAAAACCCAUCUACUGACUUAAAAACAAAACCUUACUCCAGUGAGUACAGUGCUCAUUUAAGACGACAUUUACUUUUCUUCUCAAAGAUCUUCCUUCACAAGCUGUUUUCCCUUCAAAUUUCAAAUUAAUUGCACUUUUGACAAAAAUGUGCCCAUUAACACUCGAGAGCACAACCACUGCGCUGCAAAAUACUGCACGCGUACACAAACACAAACAUUAAUAUACCAAAGAUAAAUCCAGCACUGUUGUCAAAAUUAAGCCUACUUCAAAAAAUAAAAGGGAGAGACAAGGAAAUAAAUAAAUAAAACCCAGUCAUACAAAAAUACAGUAACUUUCUACGUAAGACACCAUCUGUUCCAAAAACAAAAACAAAACAAACAAAAAAAAAACCCCAUGCUGCAGCAAGCCACAGGAGCUACAGCUAUGAAAAGCCCUUGUAGAGGAGCCAAAAGCUGUACUGAGAAGUUUUAGGGGCUGUGAAAAGCCAUACUAGCCAUUGCAAGAAGGAGGCAGCCCACGAGGUGCUGUGUGGGACCUUACCAGCCCUCCCACCACAUUAUGGGAGGGCAGCUCGCACUGUGGGAGCCUAGGGCUGGAGCCUGAUGAUGCCUCAGCAAGGCAGACGCUGGCGCUGAGAACAAGUGUCAGUUACCUGAGGUUAUGGGGUUUUGCUACAUCCCUUUCACAGGGAGGUAUGAUUCCUCUCCAGAGCUACAGACAUUGAAUACUGAAUUUACCUAACUCCCCCAUAGACUGUCCCUCUGCUGAUGCUUCCUCCUGCUCUUUUACUACGAAGUCUACUAUCUUGACCCAGGCGUAGUUUACGGAACGCAGGACCAGACAUCCUCAUAUGCCUACUACUCCAAAGGCUGAUUAAAAACAGGAGCUGCUACUACACACCAGGUGCUUGUUCACAGUUGUGUGCCUUACAGCAAAUCACAUAUAAGUUUGCCAGUCACUCAGGCAAAGAGGCAGUCAGGAGAGACCCAGAUCAAAGAAGUAGUAAGGGGUGCACUGUUAUGGUUAGAGAGGCCAAUUAAAGUAUGCAUCCCUUUCCUUCCAGCUGGCAAAGUCUCAGGUACUCGGGAUUACACAGUAAAUUUACUGCUACAUAUUCAAUUAUUAUUCAUCAGGCAUGUUAAAAAGAUACCCUACCUUUCCGCCAUUGGUUGCAACAGCACACCAACUGCAGGCUUCAGGGCAUGGGUUGAGUUCCUCAGACCAUGCUUUCACUCUCCAUCACCUCCACAUAACAAACAAUGGAAUUACAGAACCCUGGGCAAUUAGGAGACCAUAGCUGGAUUAGAGGGAAUUCAUGAGCCAACGUAUUAUCAUAGCUCUAAUUAAUAAAAUAGUAAACUCUGCAAUUACAGUGGGUUGUACACAUACCUCAGGGUAUGCAGUAAGGCACAAAUUUAGAAAUGGAAUGCUUCCAACAACCAACAACAACUUAAACAGGCAAGGAUCCUUAUCAAACAAUUAGGUUACUCAAGAACUACUCCAAUAACUGGCCCCUUUUGCCCAAGGUUAUACGUUUUAACAUCAUGUCAUAAGCUUUGGUUGAUAUAGGCUUUUUCCUAUUUAUUUUUCAUUUUCAUUGUAGCACAUAAAAAAAAAAAGUUCACCUCCCCUUUAAUCAACCCAACAGGUACAGGGCUCUUUUAAAAUUGCAUUUAAAAGUGUGAAAGUGCAAAGAAAAACCCAAAGAUUGGUGUUAAGCAAAUGCAGCUCGGCAUUGCUGUGCUACUGAGUUUCACAUGGAAGAUGAAAUACAUAGGACGGAUCGGUUAUUCCACAAUCCUAUUAUAAACACGGUUUUCUUAUGUCUUUUUUUUUUUUUAUGCUGAACAAUACAAGCAGGGAAAAAAAAGAAAAAACAACAAGAAAAAAGACAAACAAAAGGCCUCAGCAAUAACGCCAUUUCAAACAAGAAGGUAUGAGACCACAUUAAAAAAAAAAAUGGCAGCACGCAUGAACUGAGAUGAAAUACAGACUUCUCAAAUCAUCUUCACAAGCAGUUCCAGAACCAAGUGAUGAGGUUUCACUGAUCAAGCAAGCAUACAAGGCAGGUAGGGUACAGUACAGAACUGCAUUUCUUUGGCUAAGAGAAACACGAGUAUAACCCACCACUCAAGUUAUGUAAUGAAACUGGGAAGCAUAGCUGUUUUCUAAUAUAUAAGUCUGUAAAUAGCCACAAACCCUAUUUAUUAUACUCUUGGUUUGCCAGACAGCCCACUUGGCAGAGAAAGAGUCUGUCCAAAAUUGGUUUAAUUUAUUCCCUUGCUUGCUAGUUAAGUGGGCUGAACUACUGAGCAGGAUCAAAUGAUACUGCAACUGAAAUAAAUCAAAACAGUGCAUAAGCAAAUGUAAAGAAAAUUAUCUGCAAGCAUUAAGCAAGAUAAGACGGUGUUCCACAUUGUAUUCUGAGGGUGAUUCUUUUGUGGAGGAAUCAAUGCAAAUCAGAGGAUGCUACCACCAAAGCCAUGAUGGUGAUUUGUAAUGAAUCUUAAUUACUCAUCAAAACAAGCAUGUAUGGUUUACAAUUUGACAGGGACUUUAAAGCUGAAAUACUAAUAUUAUUUAGGUUGAGGACUUAAUGUUAGAGGGAGACCUGAUCUGACAAAAGUAUCUUCUUGAAGACAAUUAUAAUCCACUGCCAGUCAUAUUCAAACCUCCCCUUAACAUAUUAUUAAACUUCCCCUCCAAGCUUUCAUUCACUGUACAUCCAGAAACGCCUAUUUAGUACCCUCCUCACUUUCUUUUUUAAUUACUAUGGCAGUAAUAGUGUGCGACAGAGAAAGUAAAUAAUAAGGUUUCACUCCAUUUGCGGAAAAUACGCUGCACUGAAGUUUCGGAGAGGUGUGUGUAAAGGAACUCCACAGUCCCACGUGUCUUUCUCUUGCCUGACAUGUAGAGGCUGCUCUGGAGAGCAAGGGAAGGAAAAUCAGGGCAUGCCUACAGAAAGCUACUUCACCAUUACUGUGAAAGAACAAGCAAGAACCAAGAUGCACCACUGUAAAUCAUCACAUAGAGGACACAGACCAAAACUAGAGCAGAAGUUCCUCUCCUUACACACUUACCUCCUACAAGUGAAUGCGUCCAGACUAACUUUCCAUCAUGGAAGACUACGGAAACUGAAAUAUGUACAACCCAGCAAUAUAUUGACUUUGCUCCAAAAGAGAGAUUUUGGAGGAAGGAGAUUUUGGAAUAUAGGCUCAUUUCCUUCCCUAUUACUCUCUCACCUCUCUGCUGAGCUUGUUCAUAAGAGCACUACAGGGAGUGAUGAAUAUUUGCCUACAAAGAGACCAUUAAGCAACUUAAUGGAAUCAGGGUGGCAACCCUGCCCAUGGCAGGGAGGUUGGAACUAGAUGAUCUUUAAGGUCCCUUUCUACCUAAGCCAUUCUAUGAUGCUAUUAUUCUAUCUGACAACAGUUUUCAACUAUUAAUGAGCUGAGCUAAAAACAAAGCAGAGAAUUUUAAUGUUCUUUGUCAUCCCUUUGUCUCCUGACAUUUUGUGGACAAAGUCCUGGCAAUAACAAACUAAACCACAGAAAGGUACUAUGGAAACUUUCAUACUAGUAUAUACCAGUACUAACUUACAAUCUUACUUCUUUUCAAAACUGUAGCUGUCUCAGACAUGUGCUAUUAGUUACACCAUCUUAUGCAGUAGUUUUAUUAAUUCGCAGUAAUUUUCUACCAAUAAUUAGCACUGCUCACUAUGAUAAAUUAAGUCAAAGACAAGUAAAGAUUUGUAUAUGUUUUUAAUUAGUAAUUAAGUAGAUCAGAGAUUAAAAAUAAUGAUGUGAACAAUAUGUAUGUAAUAUGUAUCAAAUUUGACAGAUAACAGUGCCUACUCCAUCCUAACUUCGUUGCCACCAUACCAAACUACCAGGGAGGUACAGACAACAUAUUUGGCAUUGCUCUAGCUCUCAAAGAAACACCAUCCCGUGAAGUUUUAUUUCACCAACAUCAUGCUAAUAUCACAGAGCACCAUUUCAAUAACAUCAUUUCCAACUCAAGUGUAUUAUAAAUGACUCCUAUCCUUACACUUAACCACAACUGCACAUCACAAUUAAAUACACGUAGCUUGCCCAUUAUUUGAGCUUUAAGGAAACAAAAAUUCUAGCUAAACAGAGCAGUCAAAAUGUUCUCUACCUUCUGAAAGAAUCUUGCUGCUACUGUAAGAUCAUGCACAAAAUAAUAGAAUGGGCUACAAGUUCUGUUUGAUACAAUUUUACUAAGAAUUUUGAAAGCAAUUGUAUUUGCAUAGCUUUGCAGAAAUAUCAAAACAGCUGCUUUACUCUGAGCAGCUUUACUCUAUCGUGACCUGCCCUGGUAAUCAAAACAGACUAUCAUAUCACACAGCAUCAAGAAGUCUGACAUUGUGGUCUGAAGGUUCAUAGUUGAAUUGUAUCUUUACUGGUGUAGAAACUUUUAUUGACUAAAAGAGCAUUGGGAUUUAAUUGUAGGAGCCUACGAACAUCUGGUCAAAUAUGAGUAACUCUCUCACUAGAAAACUAUUUCCAGCUACAAAAACUGUCUUCCUAAACAUAGCUGAUGUAAAAAGGGAAAAAGUCAAAAUUUGUCUCUCUCUGUUGUUACGGAAGACUGAACACCGGACCCUCUUUUCUAUAAUGUAAACGGUAUUAGAAACUCAAAUCUCAUGAUAGAUCUGUGUUCACAGUUGUCACAGGGGAUGCAGUUAGGCACUGUCAGCAUGCACGGAUGUCAGCUACAGACGGGCUUACACUCAUCUCUAGAGUGCUUCUUUACCAUUGCUGAUGCGUGCACAGAAUGAUAUAAAAUCACUUCCAAACACCACCUAAACUGACAGUAGUUAGAGCACACAGUGAUACAUUUUCCAGGUAACUGAACUAUUUUACCUGUUUCGGAAAGGCAAGGGACAUGAAACUCCAUGUACUUUGAGGACCCUUCUGAACAGGCAGCACUUAAAUGCCAUGCACACAAUGACGAACACUGUUAAUAGAUGCCAGCAGCUCAGUCUGUUGAAUACUGACUUUGGUCUAAACUAAAUAGUUUUUGCUAUAAACUAAAUACUUUUUGCUCUAAACUAAAUAGUGUCAUGUCUUGUUGUCAAGGAUGGGUAGCUCCACUUAUUAUUUCAUACUAUUAUUUCUUGAUACACUACACGUGUUUUGUUUUAGUGCAAACCACAAAUUGAAAAUAUAUCAAUACAGAGAAUGGGCCAUUUCUCGAAUUUAACAGAAAAGAACAAUACACACUGUCUAGCAAGACUAAUCCUAAUAACCCUCAUCUGUCCUGUUAGCCUUUUGGUUUUUUUAACAUAAAGCUGCUUUCCGCCUAAGCACAGACACUGCUUUAUGGAAAAACUGAUCAUUAAAUAAUCUUGUUUCAACAAAAUUAAACAUUCUGCUCUAUUACAUUCUCCGAGAUGAUAUCAUGUUCUACGACACGUAAUUGGAUAUUUCUUUCAGCCUUUUAAAUUGCUUAUUAGAAAACAUCCCGUAUUACUGCUUCUUCAUAAACCACUCGAGAAGGAACGCACACCCAGGCUCCAGCAGCAGCUCACCACCAAACCCAGCACUGGGAAGUUCCAGGCACGCCACCAGAGUCCAGGGAGGAUGAGGUUAGCCUGGUCAGCCCAGGAGCAACACCAACCCUCUGAAGCCAAAUAAAGGCCCAACACGCACUAUGAACUGCAGAAAAAUAAUCAGUUGUUGUUGUUUAUUUUUUCUGCUUUGGUGUUAUGUGAGGGUUUUCUUACAAAGAGGAUCAAAAGAUUUUACUGCAUUACCUUUAAAUGCCAUCUGACUUUCUAAUUUCAAUUCCCCUCGGCUCCUCUAGUUUUUACUUUUCUACUGAACUGAACUACACGUGCAAAUAAUCUAUCUGGUCCGUAAACCACUAUUUAAAAAUUAAACUUUCUGUAGCAACCAAACACGGAGCUCCUCUUUUAUAACCCAAGAGCCAUUAAAGUAUACCUUUUAAUAAUUACCAUAUAUAUUUUUUUAACCUCUUCACAGCUUCCAUAAAUGAGAGAUUUCAGCCAGAGCUGCAGGAGUUUAUUACAGCUUAUUGAAGUUGCAACAAAGUGAACUUCUAUUCUUAAUAUGUUUUUUUUUUUUCCUGCAGGCAGAAAUUCUUUCAUAUUAGAGUGGCAAUUUUCAGACUUGAUAAAUGUAUCAGAAGAGAACCGUCAAACACAAGUAAAAAUAAAAUAAAAACCAAAACCCACAGUAAAAUUAUUUUCUGUUACACAAAUUGAGGCGCAACAAAUCAAAGCCAUGUGUGCGUGAAGUGGCCAUAAACACCUCACCAACGACUUCUGUACAAUAUUUACAGUUUUCACAUCAGUUUUAGAAGUUUUACAGUUUUCCUGUUGAGAUCUCAACUACUCUGAUAGGAGCAGAAGAAAAGGAUAAAAAUCGCCACACAAACUCAUCAUACCAUCACAGCCAAAUGCUGGGGGAACUCCUAUCAGAUAAUUACAACCACAUUGUUGUAAUGUAGAACUUCAAGACUACCGUCACAUUUUCUGGAGCACAAGGCCUGAGAUUCCUAUCCAAAGAAAGAGGAGAAGAAAAAAAACCAGCACGUAUAGGUUUUGGCUUACUAAGAGAAACCCCUUUGCUGACAAUCACAGCAAUCAGUGACAAAGGCAAAGGCAACAUUCAACUUCAAGAAAGCACCAAAAGAGGCAUGCCCAGGGCAGGAGGAGGAAAUACGGAAACACGGGCAAUGCUGUGAGCAUAAACACUUGUGGUCCACAUUCAACUAUUAUUACUCUGGCGUACUGUUUUGCAGGUGUACAAAUGUGCCCAAAAGGCAAAUGAAAAUAAGCACCCAGAAUGCACAACGCUUCCUCACAACGUGAGGUAACUCCUAUUCAGACUAUAUUAAUGGUGGUGAGAAAUUAAUCACAAGAAAAUAAGAAACAAGCAAAGAGACUUUUAAUUUGACAGGCAACGUUACAUAUGACACUUGUAUGUCCUCUGAUUAUUUCACAUCAGGGGUUUGGAAACAGCACUUCAGACUGUUGCUGCAGCUGAAGCCCUCUCGUCUCUCUUCCACAUCCACAGCUUAGUGAGAAAGAUUGUGGGGAUAAAUCUUACUGGGGGCGUCCCACUGCUAAUGAGUGGUUAGUCAAUGUCAAUUGUUUCACUUCUAAGUAGAGUUCACUAUUCUAAAACCAGAAGUAUGUGGUGCCUCUCGUUUGCCACUUGAGCAAAGAACCCAAAGCAUGGAUGUUCCCAGAGGUUCACACAGCCUUUACACUCACACUCACUGACGACUUCUCAAAGUCCAAGGAGAGGCUCGCCAGUUGGUUACAAUGGAAACACUUCCAACCCUUCCACCUACAAAGGAUUUCUGCCUUCAGGGUGUCAGCCAAGCACUAAUUUCACUGAAGAAAAAUACAGCCCUGAUGAAUUGCUUUUUAAUAUUUCCUGCCGAAAUAGAACUGCUCUUGCAAAGUCUUCCUACAAAGAGAAACAAAACCGUACAAAGCUGCUAUUUCCUAAUAAAACGGCACAGACAGCUUGAAACUGACGUUCUUAUGUGAUAAUUCCGUGCUACUUUAAUUAAAAGCAGCAUCCAAAGUUACCGAUUGAAGCGUACCACUGAAAAACACUGUUCUCCAUUUUCUAUCUAGCUUGCAUCUCCCCUCACAGUUUCUUUGCUUCUUCAGGAACUGCCAGACAGUUCCUCCUACUGACAAAAGGGGAGUUACAUUACAGUAGAAAACCAAGUAAUUUCAAAAAUAGCUGUUUUAAUCCAUUGCACACUGCUUCAGAGGCGCUGCUUACGAAAUCUGUCAAGAAAAAAAACAAGCUGUCUCUUUAAAUAAAAUAAUUUUUAAAGCAGUUUCCCCGUAACUUAUCAGACUUUUCAAAUAGCAAAGGUACGCAGCCUGCGCAUACAGCACAUCUGUUGGGCUCCCAAGAGGAUCAGCAAUUAAUGCUCCCUGAAGACUGGAACCCAUCACACCUCCUGCUGGGAGGACCGAUGGUUUAUAAGCAGCUGCUCUCGGGUUCAAACGUCUCUUCUCCAUUGACCAAGGCGAGGCAAGUAAAGCACUGUCCCCUCGUCGCAAUACAAGGAACCAGCCCUCGCUGGACCCAGCUUAAAGAAGGAGCAAAGACAGCUGGAGAAAGCCAGAGCUCCACUCCAAUGGUAGUACCUGGAACCGUGACACACAGAAUCAAGUGGGAAUGAUGUGGAGGUGCUGCUUGCUGAACCCACCUGCAGAGCUGGAUGCAGCAUUAUCAGCAUAGCCAACCACAGCACGCUACAAAACCACACCGCAUUGAAAUGUAAAGAUAUCUUGCUAGUAUUUCAUAACACCUGACAAGCCACAUAACCGACCUUCCCACCUACAGCAACGUGCAAACAGCAAGCAUUGCCCUGCUGGAUGGGACACAUUGCAGGAUUAGCUAAGUGUGUUGUGCGCAGCGGAUUUACAGCUCCCUACUCCCCUUACCUACCAGUAACUGUAAUUCCCCUGCUGAUGGCUUGAAAGCCAUGAGAAGAAGGCCACGUAAAAUGGUACUCAUUACUUCCAUUUUUGUGCAAACCUAGUUCAGAAAAACAGCAACCCGAAUAAAUGUUGACAUUUCAGGCUUAGAAAACUUCCAGCUCUGUCACAAAGUUUGUCCCCGUAACCGAUGGCCAGCUGUCUCACAAACAGUUAAAAGCCCAAAGAAUGGCCUUGUGGGGUGCCACCGCACAAACCAAACACGAUGCGCUGCCAAGGGCUCAGGCAGACACAUGUACCAUUAUUCAGCGAGGACCACAUGAAUGCAUAUGGCUCUCUGUUUUGUCUUCAUAGUAACAAGAAGGUUUGUAAACAGAUCUCACAUAUGAGGCAAUCGGUCACUUGAGAAUCUAAAAAUCUGCCUGCAAAGAGCCGAUCUGCGCCGCCAUCGCGUUUGGGUGCACAAUUAAAGGUCCCCUGCACGGGUGCCUCGGGGCAGGCGCUGCUCCUUCUGCUCCCGGCACGGCAGCGAUGCUGACACCACUGCAGCGGGAUGCGGAGCCGGAGCAGUGCCGUAUGCUGCAAACCUUCAAUGCUGGAUUGCUCCGUCAACAAAAGCGAUGGCAGCACGCUGGCUUGUCCCACGCUGCCCCGCUGCUGUCCUUUGCACGGCUGACAACCGCGGCAGCCUUAAAUGCACUUAGCGGAGACGGCAGUGACUUUGAAAGGCUCACGUGGGAAAAAGCCUUCCAGCCUCACCUACACAGCGAACGCUUUUUUUGGAAGAUGAGGCAAAGCAAAAAAAAAAAAAAAAAAGGAAAUCUCACAUAAUCCAUACCUAAAGAUUCAGAAGCAUCCGCUGACUGGAAGGGUAAAGUAAGAUUCAACUGUUAACGAAUACAAUCUCCCGGUUACCGUGCGCCCACGCCGGCACGUCCGCGGGCUGCGAACUCGGCGCUCCUAUCGGUGAGGACAGACGCGCUGCCCGAGCCCGGCCGCU